UUAAUUCUUGGUGGAACCGACACUUCAGCAGCAACAAUGGAAUGGGCAAUGACUCUUCUCCUCAAUCAUCCGGAUGUUUUGGAGAAAGCUAAAGUAGAGUUGGAUAUGCAUGUUGGAAAGGACCGCUUGAUAGAAGAAUCUGAUCUUCCCAAACUGCGGUACCUUCAAAGUAUCAUUUCUGAAACUAUGAGAGCAUUUCCUGUGGGCCCUCUUUUAGUGCCCCAUAUGUCCUCAGAUGACUGUCAAAUAGGGGGUUUUGAUAUACCACGAGGCACAUUAUUAUUGGUAAAUGCAUGGGCCCUUCACAGAGACCCUCAGGUGUGGGAAGAUCCUACAAGUUUCAAACCUGAAAGGUUUGAAAAUGGAGAACGUGAGGAUUACAAACUAGUACCAUUUGGAAUAGGAAGAAGAGCCUGUCCUGGAGCUGGCCUUGCUCAGCGAGUGGUGGGUUUGGCUUUGGGGUCGUUGAUUCAGUGCUAUGACUGGAAGAAGAUAAGCAACACCGCUAUUGACACCACUGAAGGGAAAGGGCUCUCCAUGCCCAAACUGGAGCCAUUGGAAGCCAUGUGUAAGGCACGUGAGAUUAUAAACCAGGUUCACUAGAACUAGAGAACAAUAUUUAGUUGGUAUUGGCACUCUGGUCAUUUGCUUGUAUUGUUGCAAUAAGCAUUCUCGGAUGCAUUUCGAGUAUCGUGCCCGUUAUAAAUAUGUAUUACGUGCUAAGAUUGUCGUUAUAUCAAUUUGUCAAAGCUCAGAGACUUUCUUAAAUUAUUAAAAAAAAUAAAAUUGAACUGUUAGAUGAUAAUGGACUAACAAUGUGUCAAAUUGACGAUCAUUCUAACUUUGUCUGAUUCAUACUAUAUCGUUUUUCCGACUUGAAAAAUCUCCCUCCAUUAUCCUCUCCCAUGAAUUUAAUUUCACAUCACUUUUCAACCCAAAAGUUGAAGCUCAACGCCAUGAUUAUCACGUUGAUCUAGCUGCAAUCUAAGAGGACUAUGUACCGUUUUUGUGGUAGUUCACAUUCCUCCAAAUGUGUGCCUGGGAGAGAUUAUCUCUCCUUCCAUAUUACUUCCACUUUAUCUAUUCCUAUUGCAAUAUGAUGCAACUCUAUCACAAGAGUUUACUCAAUAUAAGACAAACUCUCUGAUUGCUUAAUAUUUUUUGUAUUAAAAAGAAUAGUUCACACCUCAUUCAUAAUCAAUUAUUUAUUGAAAGUGUAGUCACCAGUGUCUGAUGUGAUUUUGGUAGGGCUGUCAAUAAAAUAAUAAUUUUAUCUUCAUCAUUAAUCUUUAACUUUUAUUCUCAAGUUAUACACUUCUUAAAUUUAUUUAUAUGAUGUUUAAGAUUUGUUUUUCCAUCAUUUUGAACUCAUAUGAUUACUUCUUCAAAUAUAAUUUAUUUGUUAAAGAUUUCAAAAUAUAAGUUUUUUUUCUAAUUUCUGUCGUAAAUUAGAAGGAGAUCUUUUAAUUUAUUCAAAAUACUAUAUUUUAGUUGAGGAGUUAGGCUUAAAUUAAUAGCACUUACUGCUUUUACUUUAAUUAUUCCCAUUGUUCAUCCACUGUGCUCUUUGGUUUCUUACCUUGUAACGCUUUAAGAAGUCCUUAUUGUACCAAAAUAUAUAUAACCAUACUUUGCCAAAUGCUGAGAUGAUUUUUUCCAUCAAAUGACUUACUAUCAUAUUUUAUACCAAACAUCAUCUUCAAAAUAUUUUUCCUCGGUUUUCAUACUACGACUCUAGUACCUCUUAUUGUAAAAAAUCAUAAUACCCAAAUGCAUUUUGAAAAAUAAAGAAAAUAAAAAAGAUAAAAGAUUUACGUUAUUUAGUAUAAUUGUCUACACCUAUUGGAUAGGAAGAUUAAAUUUAUUAAUGGUCAUGAAAAUGAAUUAAAAGAUAUGAAUAACGAACAUUAUUUUUUCUCCAUAUUUUUUUUUCUUUUUUCUUUCACGAUAAAGAAUUUUAAAACUCUUUACUAUUUCUCAACUAAGCGAAAAAACUCACCACUUUAACUAUGAAAUAGUGUUAAGUGAGGAUAUGACAAGGUCAAAUAAUGGUAAAUAGUGAAUCUCAUGUUUUUAAAUUCUUUUUUUAACAUUGUUGGUUAGUUCUAAAUCAAAAUAUUGACCUGAACUUUAUUAUUAGAAUAACAAUAAAACUAUAUUCAAAUGACAUCUAAAAUGUUUUGAAAACAAUUUAAAUUUUAUAAAUUAAAUACUUUUAGAUGCAUAAGAAUGCUAAUAUCUAAUUUUCAAUAUAUUCAUGAUUAAAAUAAUUAUAUUUAUAUAAAUAUUAUUAUUUAGAAAUAAUAUGUAAGUCAAUUAAUUGAUAAUAUUAUUAUUUAUAAAUAAUAUAUCCACAAUAAUUAAAAUUAUUAUUUAUAUAUUGAAUCUAGUACAUAAAAUUGAAUAAUUUUAUAAUAAUGUUGACCCACGUUUUUCACGUACGUCCCCACUCAAUGGCAAUACUUACUUUUUAUUUAUUUGGUGAAAAAUAUUAUUUUUAGAAAAGACUUGGACUAGCUACUUAUUUUUAUUUUAUUUUUGAAGGAAAAAACAAAAUAAGAAAUAAAAACCCUAAGUGUUACUCUUGAAGAAAAAACAGGUAUAUGAAAAACUGAAUCUGGUUCUGGGGAUCAAGUUACCUAUUGGGAAGGUACGAUGGUGAGUCGUAGCACCCCCCUCUAAACCCGUAUAGUACGGUCUCUAUUAAACGAAUUAAGAAAAUUGUAGUAAUUAAUUAAUUAAUCAUAGAUACCAAGAUUAAAGGAAUAAGACAAUAUACAUAAAGAUGACAACAAAAUAAAAUUACAAGAAUGUACAAAUUAAAGACAAUAGAAUUAUGCAAAUUGAUUUAUUGGACUAAUUAAAAAAAAUAUUUGAAAAAAAUUAGUUUUCCGAAAAUUUUAAAGGAUUUUAUUAAAAACAAUUUUGAAUGAGUGAUUUCAAUUUAUUUAUUUAUAAAAUAUUUUCUUCAAGUGAUUUGAUUCAAUUUCAUUUAUAUUUAAUUUUCAGAAAAAUUUAUUUACACUUAUUGUAUCAAAAAAAUUUAUUCCAAAUUUCAAUUUGGCAACAAAAAUUAUUUUUACUUGUUUUUACAAAAAAAUAAUGAAUUUUUACAAUUUUAUUUACAAAAAUAUUUCAAUUUGUUUUCAUUUAAGAAAAGUGAUUUAUACAAAUUAUUUAAAAAUAUAUAACUUUAUUUGCAAAUAAUUUUUAAUUAAAAAUAAAAAUAAAUCCUCUAUUUCAAAAAAAUACUUUUAAUCCCAUUUUAAUUAAGGAAAAAUAAUUCAUUUAAAAAAACAUUUUUUUGGAUAAUUUUAUUAAAAAUUAAUUUUUGGGACAACUUUAUUUACAAAAUAAUUUUUCAAAUUCUAUUAAUUUUUUUUUUUGGGAUUUUUCUAAAAGAAUUUUCUGAAUUUUUAUUUAAAAAAACUUUAUUUUAUUAAUAAUAAUAUUUUAAAAUUAUUAUUAUAUUAAAACAUGUUUACUGAAUUGUUCUUCUUAUUUAAACAAAAUUUCUGGUUUGUUCGAUAUCUAAUUUUGUACAUAAUAAGUAAAUAUAUAUAAACAAAUAUUUACAAAAACUAAUAAAAAUAAAAUAAAAUAGUAGUGGGAAAUAAAACGUAUACCUAAAUAAACUUACAACAAGUUCAAUGUCUUCCUACAACUUUUUGAGUUUCACUUUAUUUCAUGAAAUUUCAUGUUCCAUAUGUUAUAAAUUCGUAUUCAACUAACAAGAUUGUAGAAUAAGUCCAUGCAAAAACAAAAAAAAAACCUAAAUGUAAAUAUUUAGAGAUGUACAAAAUUCCAAACAAAUAUUCAAACCCAAAUUCAAAUUUCAAAUUAGUCCCAUAAAUUUUGCCAAUUAAAAUGAGCUCAAAUUACAAUAGGUCUUAGUCCAAAAUAUCCAAAUUAAUAACCAAAAAUAUAAAUACAAUCAACCAAACCUAAAAUUGGAUAAAUUAAAAUAAAUUUUACUAGGCCUAAAUUUAAUAUUCCAUAAUUUAAGCCUAAUUUAAUAAACACCACAAUUGUCCCAUGUCUAAAUUAAAUAGUUCAAAUUGGCAAAACCUAUAUCAAAUAUUCAAGUCAUCCAACAAAUCUCAUCCACAUUGUGGACUUAAAAUUUAUAUAAAUUAACAAGGUCACAUUAAUAACAUACAUGACCAAAGGAAAUAAUAUCUCAAGUCCAAUCUAAUAAGCCCAAACAAAUAACCAAAUAACAAGCCCACAUUAAUAAUAUACAUCGUUAAAGGAAAUUAUAUCUCAAACCUAAUCCAAUAAACCCAAACAAAUAACCAAUAAGCAAUAGACUUAAGUUUAAAUCAAUUAUUGUGCAAAAAAAAAAAAAAAAAAAAAAGAUAAAAACAUGAAAAUAAAAUAAUGUAAAAAAGAAAUUUACCAAAUUUUUUUUUAAAGAAUUAUGGAUGGCCCGAUUGCUAGCUGGCAAUGGCGGGCGAUGGUUGGUGGUGAUCGACAAUGGCGGUGAGGGUGGUGGAUGGAGAGAGAAUGGGUAUGGUGAGAGGAUAGUAGAAAAUAAUAAUAAUAAUAAUUAAAAGAAAUGAAAGAAAAGAAAAUGACAAGGAAUCAAAAGAAGGGUGUUUAGGGAGGGAAAAUGAGGGAAGGAAGAAGCCGAAAAAAAUCCGGGCUCUGAGUGUUUUUUUUUUUUUUUCCUCCAGUCCAUUGUGAGUGAGAGGGAGCCCCCAAAGAGAGCUGCCAAUGGGAAGGAAAAAGCCCAAAGUAAAAAUGGAAAAAGAGAAGAGAGAUGAGAGAGAAGAGAGGAGAGGGAGGUAUGGAUUGGGGUGGUUGGGGGAAGGUUGGAAGAGAGAGGAGAGAGGGGAGAGAAAAGAAAAAAAAAAAGAGAAAAAAAAAGAAAAGAAAAAAAAAGAAAAAGAAAAUAAUAAUAAUAAUAAUAUACACAAUAAUAAAAAUUAAUAAUUAGAUGAUGAAUGAGUUAAAAUAUUAUAUAUAAUUGGGAUUUAAAAUUUAAAGAUAAAAUUGAAUUCAAAAUUAAUAUAAAAAUAAAAUUGAGAUAAAUUUUUGGUUCAACAAAUAUAUAUAUUUUAAAUAAUUUUAUUGUUAUAAAAAUAUAGUCUCAAACCAUAUUAGCAUUACUACAUUUUUUAGAAUUAUUUUUUUUAAAAAAAAUCGUAUUUUCAAAAAUAUAUAUAUUAUUAGUUUAAAAAUAAGAAACAUCUUUGUAAGAAAUUAUUUUAACAUAAUUGUAUUUUUUAUCUUUUAGAGAAAACUAAAAUAGUCUCUUCAAGGAUGAUUUUUGUCUCAAGAUUUUUUUUAUUUAAAAAAUCUUCUCUUAAAGAAAUAAUUUUACUUAAAAAAAAUAGAGAUACGAAACAAAAUAAGUUCGAAAAAAAAAACUUAGAAGUGAUAUUUUAUCAAAUAAAAAAAAUGUACAUCAUUCUCCAAGUAUCUAAAAUAUAACCCAAGUGUCAAAUUAAUCCAAUUCACCACCAAUUAUUCCAUAUUAAAUUAAAUUCAUCAUCACUUUUCCAAACAUUCACCAACAUAUAUUAUAUGUUUAGAUUACAACCAAAAAGGCCUGAUCAUCCAACCAUGCCCCAAUUAAUACCAGAAUAAAUCAUAAGCAAGUUGGUCAGAAACAGAGCAUAUUUCAAUAACACAUAAAAACAAAUAUAAUUAACCUAUUUAGAAGCAUGAUAAAAUUCUACCAAAAUUCACACAAUUAAUUCAAGAUGUCUACUUUAUAGAAAAAAUUACAGAAUAAUUAAAUCACAUAAGAAUGAUUUUUAAAAUAAGACAAAUAGACCCUGAUUGCAGAAUAGGUCAAUGUAGUAAGUGGAAAAAUAAUUUUUUUCUCCUACUUUGGGAAUCAUUUUUUAACAAAUCAAGAAUAUAAAGUAAUUAAGAAGCUUAGAUUAAAUAAAAAAUAUCAAAAAAGAAAAGAAAAGAAAAAGAAAUAACUUAUUUUUUCACAAUCAACUCAGUGUUCAAAACAAUGUCAGAUUGGGGCAUGUGUAAAAACUAACUUAGUUCUCGUAAUUGGAAAAUGAUUUUAAGCCCGAUCAAAAUUUAAUUAACAAGUUUAAGAAGUUGAAUUUUUUUUAGAAAAACCCUAAACCAUUUGUUUUUUAUGGUUAGAAAUACAUCAAACAGUGACAUUAGACUUUUGAGAAUUUAAAGUAUGUAGGGCUCACAAAAUCCCUAUUUACUAUACACUAGUUUAAUUUAUGUAUCCUCAACCUCAUAUGAACAUUAGUAAGUUCAUCAAGCUUAAGAAUCAUUCCAUUUUUAUUUGAAACCAUGAACUUUGAUUUGUGUUUCAAAAAAAUGAAAUUCAUUUUAAAAAAAAAUAAUGAAAAGAUGCAUACGGUUAAAAAUUGGUUGCAUGUCCUUUCAUAUACAAAAAAUUUAAACCCUGGUGACCCAAGAUAAUAUUGUUAAGAAAAGUUUAAAUUUUUUUUUUUUUUUUUUGGAAAAGGUUAUGGUCACCUAUCUUAUAUAAAUAACAAACCUAACCCUAACCCUAACAGACACCGAUCAAUAAAUAAAAUAUAUCAACUUCAUACAUAACCAUAAUUAAUAAAUGAGAUCAAACAUGUUAUUACAAAAAAAUGUUUAAAUUGAUAAUCAAUUAAUUUUUUUUUAUAAAAAAAUAUACAAACUAAUUAUUGAUCAUCAAAACAAUCUAUUAAAGAUUUUUUAAAAAUAAGUUAACAUGUGAUCAUCAAAACAAACAACUAAUAACUUUAUACAUUAGGUAAUGGGCUAUGUCCAUGACUUUCAUCCAACCCAAAUAAUAAAAAAGGAGAAUAUACUAUUUAUGACAUAGCAUUUAAAGGAUAUGGUUUUUUUUCCUCAAAAGAAGGAUUGAAUCAGAUUUCGUGAAAUAGGAUAUUCCAAUGUAACGAACCAAAAAAAAGACAAAUCUUGUCAAGACAACGAGAAGUAUACAUCAAUGAAAAAAAAAAUUUAACACCCAACUUAAAAAUUUAUAUAGUUUUGACAGUAUCAUGACAAGUUAAAAUAACCUAAUUAAAAAAUUUGUAGACAGAGAGUGCUGAUUUCGCCGGUCUUUGUAAAUCUGAUAGCAUGAGCUGGCAUCUUGACCUGCACCCAUUAACAAAUAAAUGUUAUACUAAUAUUGGCUCUGUCAUCAACAACCUAAGAGUUAAAAUAAAGAAAAAAGAAUACUGGUGUCAUCCACCUAAUUUCAAAUAUGAUAAUGAUAUCCACUUUCGCCUUCUACUAAGAUAGAAAUUAUAUAUAAUUAUUAGAUUAGAAACAUCUCAUAUAUAUUAAUUCCAACUCUUUCAUCUACACCUUGAAUAAAGAAAUUCUUCAUUUUAUCGAAUGUCUUUGAUACAUCCUUAUAUUUCUUUUUACUUUAUAUUAUAUUUAUGAAAUCAUUAUCUUCAUCUCAUAUCUUUUUCCGCUCAUAACUUAAAAUAUCAAACCUACCAUACAACUGAAAUAAUAAAAAACUCCAUCAAUGAGGUCUCAUUUCAAACAAAUUGGAAUGGCAGUUUUCAAACAAAUUGGAAUGGCAGAUGUAUUCUAUUAUUGAGGUCUCAUUUCAAACAAAUUGGAAUGGCAGUUUUCAAACAAAUUGGAAUGGCAGAUGUAUUCUAUUAUUGGUGGGCCUCAGAGGAAUUUUAACAUUUCAGCAUUGGGCCUCCUAUGCAGCCAAGUCGUCAUGCUAUCAUUUAAGAAAGCUCUUCCUGCAGUCUGCGUUAUGGAAGAGGAGCUGCACUCCACUGCCUACACUGCCAUUGAUAACCAGUUGGUGGCAUUGAGAUUCUUCACAAAAGAUGGGCAAGAUCUAGAAGAUAAUAGUACUGCUCAUUGAGAUUUACCCAAAAAGAAAAAAGAAAAAGAAAUGAAGAUAAAAAAGAGAAAAUUGGGAUUCUUCAUUUUUAUAAUUGGUACAAAUUAAUAAAAUAUAAUUUCAUGGCUCACGAAAGCGAAACAAAACCACAGAUGCUUUUUUGCAUGUUAACAAUCUAGAACACCUAAGCAAAGAUAUAUCAUAAACAAAUUUUGGCUUUAUCAGGACUCUUAACAGCCUUCAGAUCUGAACCCAUCUUUCUCUUAUGUUUGUCAUCAACACAACCAUGGAAAUUACAUGGCUAAGCACAUCUCUAUGUCUUCUCUUUCUCUCGUUUGCUUUCAAUAUCUUCCUCCAAAGAAGAAGAAUACAUCCCCACCUCCCACCAAGCCCGCCUGCUAUUCCGAUUCUUGGUCACCUCCAUCUCCUCCUUAAACCACCAAUUCAUCGGCAAUUACAAAGUCUUUCUAAAAAAUAUGGUCCUAUCUUCUCCCUUCGCUUCGGAUCCAGUCCUGUUGUUAUCAUAUCCUCUCCGUCCACUGUUGAAGAAUGUUUCACUAAGAACGACAUCAUUUUUGCCAACCGGCCUCGCUGGCUGAUCGGCAAGUACAUAGGCUACAACUACACCACUAUUGCUUCAGCAUCAUAUGGCGAACACUGGCGCAAUCUCCGCCGCCUCAGCGCACUGGAAAUCUUCUCCUCAAAUCGCCUCAACAUGUUUCUAGGCACUCGCAGGGAUGAAAUCAAGAUUUUACUACACCGAUUGUCUCAGAAUUCAAGGGACAAUUUUGCAAGGGUAGAGUUGAGACCAAUGUUUACAGAGCUAACAUGUAAUAUUAUAAUGAGAAUGGUUACAGGAAAGAGGUACUAUGGGGAAGAUGUGGAUAGUGAGGAAGCCAAGCGUUUUCAGAAAAUAAUGAGAGGGAUUUUUGAACUGGCUGGGGCAUCAAAUCCAGGAGAUUUUUUGCCUUUACUACGGUGGGUUGAUUUUGGGGGUUAUGAGAAGAAGUUGGUGAAGCUCAAUAGAGAGAAAGACGUGAUCUUCCAAGGUCUUAUUGACGAGCAUCGAAGUCCUGACCAGGGUCUAGUGAAUAAAAACAGCAUGAUCGAUCAUCUGCUUUCACUGCAAAAAUCAGAACCAGAAUAUUACACAGACGAAAUCAUAAAAGGGCUUGCACUGGUGAGUGAACUUCUGUGUUUUGUUUUUUUUUUUUUUGUUUUUUGUUUUUGAGUGUUUAUACUAGUGUUGGUGUGACAUGUGUGGUUUAAUUUUUCUCAAAUCUAUAAAUAUUGAAUGGCACAGAUCUUAACUUUUGCUGGUACUGACACUACUGCGACGACAAUAGAAUGGGCUAUGUCUCUUCUACUCAAUCAUCCUGAUGUUCUGAAGAAAGCUAGAGCAGAAUUGGACACUCAUGUUGGAAAAGAUCGUUUGAUGGAAGAAUCAGACUUCCCCAAAUUACAAUAUCUUCGAAGUAUCAUUUCUGAGACGUUAAGAUUGUUUCCGGCUACCCCACUCUUGAUACCACAUAUUUCUUCAGACAAUUGCCAAAUUGGAGGAUAUGAUAUCCCAAGAGGCACAAUAUUAUUGGUCAAUGCUUGGGCCAUUCACAGAGACCCUAAGUCGUGGAAAGAUGCUACAAGUUUCAAGCCAGAGAGGUUCGAAAAUGGGGAAAGUGAGGCAUACAAGCUAUUGCCAUUUGGCUUCGGAAGAAGGGCUUGCCCUGGUGCUGGCCUGGCUAAUCGAGUGAUAGGUUUGACUUUGGGGUUAUUGAUUCAGUGUUAUGAGUGGGAGAGAGUUAGUGAGAAGGAAGUUGACAUGGCUGAAGGGAAAGGAGUCACCAUGCCCAAAUUAGAGCCAUUGGAAGCCAUGUGUAAAGCUCGUGCUAUUAUCAGAAAGGUAUUAUAAAACAACGAAGAGACAUCUGGUUGAUGUUAGCAUUAUUGUCAUAUAUUUGUGUCGAUACAUUUUAUCAGUGUGCUCAUCGUAUGUAUUUGUUAUGUUAUUUUAGCUAGCCUAGUCUAAAAAUAAAAGAUUAUGAUUAUGUAAGCUUUUUUUGUAAUUUUUUUCUAAUCUAAAUGAGCAACUUUGUUAUAUAGUUUUCAUGCCAAAAAUAUUAAACAUUCAUCAUAUACAAUAACCUGAAUUGAAUAAUUAUAGAUAUUUCAUCAAUUAUUCCCAUUACCAACUAUUUUUAAAAAAUAUGUUAAAGCUUGCAAUCCUUGCAGUCCUUGCUUCUCGAAAGGCAGUUAAAUUGCCUACAAUUAUUCCAUGUUACUCAUUGCCUACAAUUAUACCAUGUUACUCAUCCUUAGCACAUUAUGGUGACCCGAUAGGGCAAUCUCCCCCACCUUGGCUUUCUUGAAAUGUUCCCUUCAAAUUGUCUAAACAUGCUUUUGGGUUUCAAGAUGCAAUGGCUUUUUCCCAAAAAGCUUUUGGAAGUGUCUUGGCCUUUAACACGUUUCUUGUCAUCUAUACUACGGUCAUGUUCUUCUUUUUGCUUAUACCCUUUCAUUGAGAUGUAUAGUUAAUUGUUAAUUAUUAUAAAAUUCAUUGACGGUAAAUCCUCCUCCUAUAAUUAUCAAAUUCUAACAUAUUAAUAUUGCAAUUAUUUUGUCUUUCAAUAAGAAUUUUGAAAUCUUUAAGCUUGCUAAAAACCUUAUAUUUUUCUAUUAACAAAUAAAUCCAAGUUUUUCUUAUAAAAUCAUUUAUAAAGGUCAAUAUAUAUUUGUUAUAAUUAAGAGAUUUUAUCUCAUCAAAUCAUAUACAUAUGCACCAAAUCUAAAGGUUUAGUUCUUUUGGAUAUUCUAAUUGAAAAAUAUUUCCUAUGUCGUUUCCUAAGGAGACAUUUGUUAGAAAAAUUAGGUUAAUCCAACUUAUGGUAAUCACUUUAGAGGGGGGUGAAUAGAGUGAUGGUCUCUUUUUGCAAAUUUAAACUAUGUGAAUGUUAGAGACAAAUAUACGUAAGUAUUUAAUAAAACGAUAUAAAGACAAUUGCAUAUAAAGUAAAAGAGUAGGGAAGAGAGAAUGCAAACACAAGAUUUUAUAGUGGUUUGGUGCAACCUGACCUACAUCCACUCUCCUCUAACUUCAAUCCCAAGCUUGAGGUUCCACUAGUUCAAGGCUUCCAAAUCAAGCUUUCAAGCAAUACAAUUGGAUUAUGGUUCCAAUCCACCAUUUUGGACUUUUGGCUCCAAGUACCCUUUACAAUCCUCAAGAGAUACCCCACUCGUGAACAACCUCUCAAGUGCUACCCCACACUUGAGAAUCUUCAUCUCAAAGAUAUACAAAUAAUUGAUCUUACAAAAUCCUAGUACAAAAAUUUUAAGUUCAAAUGAUACAAGAAAUCUGGGAUUGAAUGGUGCACUAAUGAUAUGCAAAUUUUAGAACAAUGGUGCACUCAAAACACUCUUCCAAGGCUCAAAUAUAUUCAAGAAAGGUUUGGGAAGGUUGAGUUUUUUAACAAUGAAGAUUUGGAGCCUUUUUAUAGAAGAAAACGACCAAACUAGUUGUUAGGGGUUCGAUUGGUCGAGCUAGGGGUCAACCGGUUCACUAGCCGUUGGAUCAUUUAAUGCUUUGGCAGUUACCGUUGCUUCAACCGGACCUCGAUCGGAGGUCGACCGGGAAGGAAAGACUACUGGAAGAGAGAGAUUUUUUUUAGCACUCCUCGAUCGGGUAAAGGGAACCGAUUGACCGGUACCCUAGCCGGUUGAGUUGGUUGGCCUAGUGCCUUGACCGGUUCAACGUUUUGGCCUAGAAAACCAAUUUUUUCAAUUUAAAACCUUUUAAACAAGUUAGAAAAACAUUUGAUACAAGGUUUUAGUUGAAAACAUGAAAUCAUCAAAUUUUAAAAUAUUUAAAACAAAAUAACUCUUGGAUGAUUUUGGUGUAUAAGUAAAGAAUGUAAUGCAUGAAAAUCCUAGUGCACCAACAAUAUUACAAAGAGAUCUUAUGACGCUUGGGUCUUAAAAAAAACUUCUCUUUGAGGUGGUUUUCUUCUUCAUGAUUUCUCUUUGGCUUGAUUUGUCUUUGUGAUUGCCAUUUUGGAAAUCGUUUUACCUAAUCACACUUGAAAUAUAAUUAUUAGUUCUAAACCUUGUUUUGUUAUCAUCAAAAUUGAGAUUAACCAAACCUUGGUCUCACAACAUUCUUCAUAAACAUGAUAUGGAUCAUCAAUUAGUGAUAAUCCUAUUACCAUAUUCAUAUGCACCAAGAACUUUAACCCAUGAAACAAAAGGGAAGAUGUCAAAGCCAAUUGCAAUCUUCUACUAUUGCCUUCAAAUAAAAUGAAGUUUUGGUUGGAAAAAGAUAGGAAAUAUCAUAUUUUGUCUUCUACAUAUUUGAAAUCAUCUUCUUAUUUUUAUCAUUAAGAGUACAAACUCCAUUAAAAAUAUUAAUGGUAUGUUUUUUAUUUUAUUUUAUUAAUUGUCCCAUGAUAAACAAAUUCUAAAAAAAAUCUAAUACAAAAAAUAGAUCUACUACGGUAACAUUAGUGACAUAUUUAAAUGUAUUUUAAUAUUAUCUUUACCCAUGAUUAAGACUUUAAAUUUACUUCCAAAAUUAACUUUUCAUUUAACCGAUUCAUCAGAUUGCAAAAACAAUUUUUUCUUAUCACACAUGUGAUUGUUGCGUUUUGUAUCAAAGAACCAAACAUCUUUAUGGUUUAUGUUUGAUGUUGUUACAUUAUAGACCAAUGUCAAAUUCUACUCAACCUCAAUGGUGUUUGUCAACUCUAUUGUUCAUUCUAUAAUUUCAUUCGACAUUUUGAAUCGUAGUGUCCAUACCACUUACAUCUAAAACAUUAUAGGUGUGACUUGUCUUUAGAUCCAAGAAUGUUGAUCAUUCCUUUAGAAUAAUUUUUAUUAUAUCUCCAUCUCUAUUGUUGGAGUUGUUGUGUCCUCCUCUACAUCCAUAAUCAUGACCUUUGCUACUUUAUUGAUCCUCAUGACCUCUUGUAGAUGUUUUACUUUUCAAGGCUUACUCCAAACUAGUAGAGUCAAUUAUUUUAUUCAUCCAUUAUUCAUGUGACUACAUACGCUCAUCAACCCUUCAAUUGUAAAAGUUAAGAUAUUUCUUUUUUCUUCAUUCGUUACAACAACAUAUUCAAAUUUUGCAUGUAAAAAUCGUAUGUAUGACUUUCUCUUAUAUUUUUUAAUCAUCAAGCCUUUCACCAUUAACCCACAUCUAGUUUAUAAGUACCCAAUCAAAAUAAUGUGAAAUCAAUUUAGAGCCAUUGAUAGGGAGAGACUUGAAUUCACAUCUUAAUGUUCGUAGCGCCAUUCACUUGACAUGAUCAUUACUUUAAUUUAUAUAAUUUGUGUAGAUUAAUCUAUACCUUUAUUUAUUUAUUUUUAUGCUUCUACUUUUGAAAUUUUCUUAAGUAUAUAUUCAUUUACUGCUUAGAAUAUUACAUAGAGUGCUUUUUGAUAUUUCUUUUUUGAGAAUCUUUCAAUAAGUCUUUUUACUCCUUUGACAGUGCCUCAAAUUCUUUUGAAUCAACCACUUUGUUGUAGUCGUGAUCCAUUAGACCCUAUAAAUCUUAAGAUCUAAAUAAGACACACAUUUAAUGCACUAGUUACUAAAAUUCUUACUUGUGAAUUUUAAGAGUUAAGGUUGAAUUGAUCUAUAAUUAUUUAUUGUCAUAAUAUCACUGACCAAAUUGUAAUUUUCUUGUUAUAUAUUUUGCAUAUUCUUAAGUAUUAUGGUACUUAUCUUCUCACUUUUCACCCUCCGUAAUCUUUUGGCUUUGAUAUGAACAAGGCUUUUAUUCUUAUACCACUUGUUGGUAGCUCUACUCUUCUAGCCUUUCAUCUUCCUUGAUCUUUUAUUGUUUGUACAUUUUUUUCAACAUAAUAAACUAAUCAUAUUUACACUAUACUUCCAAUUUAUAAUUAAAAAAAAAAGGUUUGAGAGUUGAAUAGCUAUGUAUCCAUGUAAACUUUGUUGCAAUGUAAUUAAUAAAUAAGAGUUAAUAUGAUUCAAACUAUCAUUAUAACUCAGAGUGAAAAGAAAAAAAGAAGAAGCUUCAAGCCAAGAUAAUAAGAGAAUGAAAUUGAGAUGAAUACCAAUAUUUGUUAUAAGUGAAAAAAAAAUAAUGAUCUAAGAAAGUCUCUUGCUCUUCAAAUUGAUAAAUGGUAGUUUUUUUCAUUCAUACUUUCAUUCGUUCAUGUACAGAGUAUAUAUAGAGGGUAAUCACCAUUCUAAGAAUGGGAAAGAAUGAUACAACGAAAGAAUGAUAUAAGGAAAUAACAACUAAUAUCCUAAUAUAUCAAUUUUCCUAAUAUCUCAAUAUUCCUAAUAUCUCAAUAUUCCUAGUAUCUCAAUAUUCCUAAUAUCUCAAUAUUCAUAAUAUCUCAACUUUCCUAAUAUCUAAACAUUCCUAAUAUCUCAACACUAAAUGAUAUAAGGAAAGAAUGAUAUAAGGAAAGCAUUCCUAAUAUCUCAACACUCCCCCUCAAGUUGGUGCAUAGAUGUCACACAUGCCCAACUUGUCUAAAAAUUUUGAGAACACUUAACUUGAGACAGCUUUGGUAAGGAUAUCGGCCAAUUGAUCUUCUGAUCGAAUCUUAGGCAAUUCCACAAUCUUAUCAUCCAACUUUUCCUUAAUGAAGAAUCUAUCCACCUCGACAUGCUUUGUACGAUCAUGUUGUACUGGAUUAUGAGCAAUGUNNNNNNNNNNNNNNNNNNNNNNNNNNNNNNNNNNNNNNNNNNNNNNNNNNNNNNNNNNNNNNNNNNNNNNNNNNNNNNNNNNNNNNNNNNNNNNNNNNNNUUUUCACAUCGAAUUGUUGUAAUGGCCAAUCUAGGUUUGCAGCUAAAGACAAUAAUACUCGAAUUGUGUUGAUCUUAGCUACAGGUGCAAAUGUCUCUGUGUAGUCAAUUCCAUAAGUUUGAGUGUACCCUUUUGCUACCAGUCUUGCUUUAAAUCAUUCAAUACUACCAUCUGCCUUGUACUUCACAGUAUAGAUCCAACGACACCCAACUGGCUUCUUUCCUGGUGGACAUUCUACGAGUUCCCAUGUUUCAUUCUUCUGCAAUGAUUUCAUCUCUUCAUUCAUGGUUGGUUUCCACCUUGGAUCAGCUAAGGCUUCCUGCACACUGUUAGGAAUAGAUACAGUAGAUAAUUGAUUUACAAAUGACUUAUUUGAUUUAGACAAACGAUGGGUAGACACAUAGUUGCUCAUGGGAUAUUUGACUUUAGUAGACAAUUCAGGUUCAUAUGUGGGUUUAGGAAUACCUCUAUUAUGACGAUGUGGUAACCGUUUCAUGAAUGGAUCAGGUUCCAAAUUAAGAACACCCUCAACAGACGACGAUUGGUUUGGUAUUUCAGUGAAGACAUCUUCGGACCCAAAUUGUUGACCACUCAUAUCCAACUCACCCACUUCCUGGUUCACUAGUUCAGAUUGUCCAGAUUCAUAUUCCUCAGAGAUAUGAUAAUCAUAAUCGAGAGUCUGAAUUUCUUUAUGAUACUCCCCCUGAAGUUUAGACUCAGAUGAAAAAUACAUUGAAUCUUCAUGAAACACCACAUCCAUUGUAAUAUACAUUUGUUGAGUUGGAGGAUGGUAACAUCGAUAUCCCUUUUUGUGCAAUGCAUAUCCAACAAACACACAUUGCAAUGCAUGGGAAGUUAACUUGGUGCGUUGGUGCUUGUGUAGAUGCACAAAUGCCACGCAACCAAAAACACGAGGAGGUAGAUUUGGGACGGUUGGGGCAACUAUGACAUUAGUAAGAGCUUGGAGAGGUGUUUGAAAGUUAAUUGAGCUAGAAGGUACCCGAUUGAUCAAGUAUGUGACAAAUGUGAUUGCUUCUCCCCAAUAAGAUAUUAGUGUUUUUGCUGCUAUCAAGGAAGCACGAACAACCUCUAACAAGUGUCGAUUUUUUCGUUCAGCGACUCCAUUUUGCUGGGGUGUAUUGGAACAAGUAGUCUGAUGAAUGAUGCCAUGUCCUUCCAAAUACUUUUGAAGAUUAGAACUUUGAUAUUCUCCACCAUUAUCACUACGCAGAACCCGAACCUUUGCAUUGUACUGAGUUUCAAUCAUUUUAUGAAAUUUUUGAAACAACAAGUUCACUUCACCUUUGGUCUUCAUCAAGCAUAACCAUGUCAUUCUGGUACAAUCAUCAAUAAAAGUAACAAACCAACGUGAGCCACUCAAAGUUGGGACUUUGGAUGGGCCCCAAACAUCAGAAUGUAUAACCAUAAAAGGGAACGGACUUUUAUUCAAAAUUAACGGAAACGAAGCACGAUGGCUUUUAGCCAAUUCACAAAUAUCACAACGGAAACCAGAAAUAUCACUCUUUGCAAACAAACUAGGAAACAAUUUUUUUAAAUAACCAAAGGAAACAUGUCCCAAACGUCGAUGCCAUAACCAAAUUUCAGAUUUUUUCUUCUCCCCCUCAGAUCCAUCUGCCAUCAAGGCUUAUUGCAAUUUAUUUGAAUCAUUUGAUUGCAAGUCCAAGUAAUAGAGUUUUCCCCGUUUAAUACCACAACCAAUCGUCUGUCUUGUUUGGAUGUCCUUAAUCACACAAAAUUCAGGCCAAAAAAUGACAAUACAAGAUAAGGCUGUAGUGAUUUGAGAAACUGACAAAAGAUUGUAAUAUAAAGAUGAAACAACUAAAACAGAAUCCAAAUUCAAAGUAUCAGUAAGAGUUAAGGAUCCUUUCCCAAUGACUGGGGUUGUGUUACCAUUGGCUGUGGAAACAAUUUUUUGUGAGGAAGGUCUAAGGGGUGAAACCUGUCUAGAAUCAAAAGUCAUAUGAUCUGUAGCACCAGAAUCAAUUAUCCAUGCACUAUUAAUAACAGGUGUAAAAGUAUUUAAAAACUUACCACCAUGAUCAGUAGCGGCUACCAAUGCAAAGGCUUUCUUAGUAACAUUAGUCUCUGUUUUUAUUUCGGCAACAGUUGCAGUCGAGGUUUUCUUGGGAUCUUUCUUCCGUUGAUCACAAUUAUUAUAAUUAAUAACAAAGUGUUGAUAGCCUAAACAUGAUCUAAAGGUCCAUGGUUCAAACCCUCGGUUUCUUAUUGUUUUCCUGGUCAUACCAAGAGUCGUUGCUUUGAAAUUGUGGGAUAUCCAGACUGGUGGGACUAGUCUUAUUGAAGUGAGUGCAUUUGAAGGUUGACUUAUCAAUAUUAGGGUUUGUCUUAGGAUGGUUGAUCGUUGUCGGACUACCAUAGUGACAAAAUAUCCAAGAUUUUAGUUCCAUGGCUUUGAUACCAUCUUCAAAUUGAUAAAUAGUAGUUUUUUUCAUUCAUACUUUCAUUCGUUCAUGUACAGAGUAUAUAUAGAGGGUAAUCACCAUUUUAAGAAUGGGAAAGAAUGAUACAAGGAAAGAAUGAUAUAAGGAAAUAACAACUAAUAUCCUAAUAUAUCAACUUUCCUAAUAUCUCAAUAUUCCUAAUAUCUCAAUAUUCCUAGUAUCUCAAUAUUCCUAAUAUCUCAACUUUCCUAAUAUCUAAACAUUCCUAAUAUCUAAACAUUCCUAAUAUCUCAACACUAAAUGAUAUAAGGAAAGAAUGAUAUAAGGAAAGCAUUCCUUAUAUCUCAACACUUGCAUCCAUAAUAAUUACAAAAAGAAAAAAAAAAAGGUUUGGCACACUAAAUAGCUUUGUAUCCACAUAACUUCUUAUAAAGAUAAAAUUAAUAAAUAAAUAAGAAAUUAAAGUGAAUUUGAUAGUGAUUCUAAAAAAUAUUUUUAAUCUUUAUAAUACUUAAAAAUAUUUAUUUUUCAAGAAUUAGAAAUGGUAAGAACACUUUCUAAAAUUACUGUCAAACACACUAUUAAUUUCAUUCAAAUUAUCAUUAUAAAUGUGAUUAGUAUUGUGUAUGGUUUUGGCGGUAUCAUGCCCAGCCAAAAUAAACUAAUAAAAAUUGUAACAUUUUUGCCGGCAAAAUAACAAGCGAUUGUUGAUUUGGUCUUUUUUUUUUUACUUUUCAUUCAUCAACCUUUAAUUCAACAAUAUAUGUUUUAGUCUAGAAAAAAAAUACCAAUAAUUAUAUAAGAAUAUUAUAAUUCUACAUCGUACAUGUUCACAAGUGGAAUUCAAUUUAACAUUAAUCAUGUAGACUCUUACAGGUAAUUGUGUAAAAAUGUUAUGGUAUCCUAUUUCUUUAGGUUAUGUUUGGUUUCAUAAGUUAUUAGGAAAAAAAAUGUUAAGGUUGGUUUUAAUAUAAAAAAUAUAAAAUAAAAUUAAAUAUAAUGAAAAUUAAUUACAAAUUUAUAUAUUUUAAAAUUAUUUAGUUUGUAUAUAUUAAAAAAAUAAAUGAAAUGAGUUUGAAAAACCAUAUGAAAAUAAUUUAUUAAUUUCAAAUCUAUUUUUUAUUUUUUCUCAAUUUUUCUUUCCUUCCAUUUUCCUCCCUAUUUUAUUUCUUUCAUAUUUUUUCUUAAAUUUUCCGAGAACCAAACGGUCUUACAGAAAUUAAGGACCUAUUUGGCAACUGUUUUCGAAAAUAAUUUUAUGUUCUAAAAAAUAAAACCAAGAAAACAUGUUUAAUAAUUAGAAAUUAUUUUCUGUUUAAUUUUAAAAACAGAAAACAAGGUGUUUUCAAAUAAUAUCUUUUAAUUGUUUUCAUUUGUUUUCUAAGGUUGUUGUAAAAAUUAAUUAUAAUGUAAAAUGAUUAAAAACAAAACAUUGGAUAAACAUAUUAAAAACAAGUUAAAAACAUUUCAAGUUUCUAAACAUAUUUUUAUUUUACACAAUAUUAGAGAACAAUAUUUAAAAAUUAUUUCGUGUUUGUUUUCUACCUAAUAAUUAAUAGAUGAAGAAGGAAACACAAAUCAAUGGAGAAGAAUGCUCAAUCCAACUUGAUUAGCAUCCAUUAACAAAUAAUUUUCUACUAACAUUGGCUGUGUCAUCAGCAACCUAAAAGUUAAAAUAAAGGAAUAAAACAAUGAUAUUUGGGUCAUUAAUUGACCUAUUUUCCAAUAUGAUAUAAUGAUGAUCUUCUCUCUCCGCUUUGGAUCUCAUCUUGUUGUUAUCAUAUCCUUUCCAUGCACGGUUGAAGAAUGUUUCACUAAGAUAGGUUGUUAUCACAUCAUUUUUGCCAACCGGCCCAUCUUUUUGUUUGGCAAGUACAUUGUUAUAGUAUGUAGCUCAUAUUUGAGUGAAAGACAUAUAGAAAAAAAAGGGCAAAUAUCGGAAUGACGACAUUUGCUAUUUAGGCUUGUAUUUCUAUUGUUGUAGGUGAACGAUAGGUUGGAGAGGCGCUGAUCCCAGUAUGGUUUAAGGGUAUUUUUGGAAUUUCAUUCUGAAGGGUUAGUAUAAAUACCAUUUUAUGUAACCCUAAUUUGAUAUAUUAAUAAAAAUCCUCUUCUUUGUUCCCGUCAACGUAGGCAAUUUGCGAAUCACGUUAAAUCUGUGUGUUCUUUCUUUCUCGUUUUCUUUAUUUUUCACACGGAUUCUAACAUACAUAGGCUACAACAACACCAUCAUUACUUCAGCACCAUAUGGCGAACACUGGCGCAAUCUCCGCCGCCUAAGCGCACUGGAAAUCUUCUCUCCGAAUCGCCUCAACAUGUUUAUAGGCACCCGCAGGGAUGAAAUCAAGAUUUUACUACACCGAUUGUCUCAGAAUUCAAGGGAUAAUUUUGCAAGGGUAGAGUUGAGACUAAUGUUUACAGAGCUAACAUGUAAUAUUAUAAUGAGAAUGGUUGCAGGAAAGCGGUACUAUGGGGAAGAUGUGGAUUUUGAGGAAGCCAAGCACUUUCAUGAAGUAAUGAGAGGGGUUUUUGAAUUGGCUGGGUAUCGAAUCCAGGAGAGUUUUUUCCUUUACUACGGUGGGUUGACUUUGGGGGUUAGGAGAAGAAGUUGGUGAAGAUCAAAACAAAGAAAGAGCUGAUCUCCUAGGUCUUGUUGAAAAGCAUCGAAGUCCUAACCGUGGCCUUGUGAAUAAAAACAGUAUGAUCAAUCUUCUGCUUUCAAUGCAAAAAUCAGAACCAGAAUAUUACACAGAUGAAAUCAUAAAAGGGCAUUCAUUGGUAACUUCAGUAUUGCAGGCAAACUGAUUCUCUUUAAGAUAUACCACUUUUCCUUAUCUUUAAGAUAUACCACUUUUGCCAAAAGAAUAAUGCUAUUCAAACCUAAAUUGGCCAGUUUGCUUCAUAGAAAAGACACUGAUCAGCAUAAAUGGUUCUAUUUUUGUUAAAAAAAUUAGGUCAUAUGCCAUUAAGCGUGCAGGAGAGGCAAGCCAACAAAAGUUGGGAAAUCAAGCAAUUUUUUUUAAAGAUAUUUGAAUGCUGCAUAUUAAUGGUCUAUCAAACGCAACUAGUAUUUGGAGUAUGAAAUUUCCAUUUUUUUUUUGUUUUUUGAGUAUUUAUAUUAAUGUUGGUGUCACAUGUGGUUUAAUUUUUCUCGAAGCUACAAAUAUUGUAUGCAGAUCUUAAUUCUUGUUGGUACUGAGACUACUGCAACAACAAUAGAAUGGGCCAUGUCUCUUCUACUCAAUCAUCCUGAUGUUAUGAAGAAAGCUAGAGUCGUAGAAUUGGACACUCAUGUCAGAAAAGACCGUUUGAUGGAAGAAUCCGAUUUCCCCAAAUUACACUAUCUUCAAAGUAUCAUUUCUGAAACUUUAAGAUUAUUUCCAGCAGCCCCAGUUUUGGUACCACGUAUGUCUUCAGAUAAUUGCCAAAUAGGAGGAUUUAAUAUACAAAGAGACACAAUAUUAUUGGUCAAUGUUUGGGCGAUUCACAGAGACCCUAAGUUGUGGAAAGAUGCUACAAGUUUCAAGCCAGAAAGAUUUGAAAAUGGAGAAAGUGAGACUUACAAGCUAUUGCCAUUUGGAUUGAGAAAAAGGGCAUGCCCUGGUGUUGGCCUAGCUAAUCGAGUAACAGCUAGGUUUGACUUUGGGGUCAUUGAUUCAGUGUUAUGAGUGGGAGAGAGCUAACGAGAAGGAAGUUGACAUGGCUGAAGGGAGAGGAAUCACCAUGCCCAAAUUAGAGCCAUUGGAAGGCAGUAAAGCGCGUGCUAUUAUAAAAAAGGUGUUAUAAAACAAUCCAGCAACUAUUGGCUGAUGUUAGCAUUAUAAUCAGCAUAGAGAUCCUCAUAUUUGGUGGGGCGUGAAAUUCAAGAAAGGCUUUCAAAUUUAUGAUGGAUUAAUGAUCAGACCUAUAAGAAGAGAGCAGGGGAUGAACAUUGGGAAAAAGAUGGAUGCAUUUAUGCAGAGCCAAUUCAUGUGCCAGGGCAAUUUGGCGAAUAGAAUCCUAUAUCUAAUAAUUUAAUUACCUUGCAAGAAUCAGAGCCACACUAAAUUAUCAAGAGACUUGUACCAGUUUGUAAACUAGUGGAUAUAUUGCUAUUAAUGUUUAACUCUAGUGGGACAUGAUAACACAUCUGUGAUAAUCCCUCAUGCCGAGCCUUUCAGAGGUGCUGGACAGCAUUGAGCCAAGUUGGAUACAAUUGCUUGAUUGAUGAACUGGAUCUCCUUAAUGGCAUUCCAUGCCCAAAUUGGAGCCUUUGGAGGCCAUGUAUAAAGCAGGAUGCAUUAUCAACAAGCAAGGCAGAAGCUGAAGAAGAAACCCAACUCCCCAACUCCCCAACUCCCCAACUCCCCAGCUCCCCAACUCCCCAACUCCAUUUUUGUCAAGAUGAUCACCACAUCAAAGCAUCUCCUUCAGCAGUUGGCCUAAGUAGCCAACUUGCCACAACAUCAUUGAAGAAGAGGGCUAAUCUAUUCAUCAAUUCAAAUCAAAACAUUGGUUUGCUUUUUCAAAAUUAAAUAGAGUGAUUGUAUAUACAUUCAUUCUCCAAAUUCCUUCUGACUUCCCUUGUUAGAUAAAUUUUGUUAUAGCUUCUAUAAAAAAAUAAGACUAAUUAUAAUAGAUUAUAUGCAUAAUUUAAUUUCAUUAUUUGUGUCUGAUUUAUAUUUUAGUCCGUUCUUUUGCAUGUGGUAUCAUUUAUUUUUAUAAGACUUGUUGCUAGAUUUUAUUUAUUUUGGCAUAUGAAAAUUGUAUAAAGCUUGUAUAAUGAUCGAAUGAAUGAUACUUGGCAUUCCACCCAAAACCUUGCCUAAUUAUUCAAUGAAUGAUAUUUGGCAUUCGGCCGCAACGUUCCCUAACCCUGUUAGGCAAGACGCGUGACAAUGAAUAACAACUGCCAUCCUUUACAUCUAAUCUCCUUCAUUGGAUUUCCAUAAAUAUUUUUGUCACUGGCACAGUUAAAGAUGGAUAAGAUCACGAGGAAAACAAUUUAAAAUGUUCAAGUAAAGUAGCUUUUGAAUAUAAGCUUGCGUGAAGAAAAAAAAAAAUAGUGUGGUUGUUUCCACUACGUACUCCAGUGCUUACCUUCAAUAGUCAACACUAAGUUAAGUUUGAAUAGCAUAUGCAUAUAACCCAUCUUUCUCUUGAUCAGUAUGUCAUCAACAAAACCAUGGAAUCUCUAUCUCUUCUCUUUCUCUUGUUUGCUUUCAGUGUCUUCCUCCAAAGAAGAAGAACACAUCCCCGCCUCCCACCAACCCCGCCUGCUAUUCCAAUUCUUGGUCAUCUCCAUCUCCUCUUGAAACAACCAAUUCAUCGGCAUCUACAGACUCUUUCUCAAAUCAGUCAUUUAUUCAUCGUUUGUCUAGGGAUUCCAGGGGUAAUUUUGUGAAGGUAGAGUUGCUGCUAAUAUUUAAUAUUAUAAUGAGGAUGAUUGCAGGAAAGCGCUACUAUGGUGAAGACGUGCACGUUGGGUGCAACAUCAAAUCCAACAGAUUUUUUUGCCUCUGUUGCGAAGGAUAGAUUAUGGAGGUUGUGAGAGGAAGAUGCAUGGCAAAUAUUAGUAUAGUGUUAGAUGCGAUCUUGCAAGGUUUUGAUUAAUGAGCAUACAAUAAAAGGGGUUUAGUGGAUAAUAAUACUAUGAUCGACCAUCUAUUAUCAUUGCAAAAAUCAGAACCAGAAUACUACACAGAUGACAUCAUUAAAGCUUGUGGAAUGACCUCGAAAGUUUUAAGCUGUAGAGGUUUGAGAAUAGGGAAAGAGAUAUAUCCAAACUACUGCUCUUCGGGGUGGGAAGGAGGGCGUGUCCUGGGAUUGGCCUACCAAACCAUAGGGUGGAUUUGGCUGUGGGGUCAUUAAUUCCAGAGUUUUAUUUGCAAGAAAAUAGACUAUAGGAAAAUUACACAUAAUAAUGAUGAGAUAUAAGAACAUGUAAUAGAAAUGAUAAUACUAUUUGAAGAAAAUAAAAGUGGACAAAUACUUGGUAUUUCUAUAUAUAAUAUAAAUUAUAAUAAUUUUUACAAAAAGUAAUUGUUAUUGGAAAAAACAAAUAUCAUUUGAAUUAAUUAUAUAUAAUAAUGCUAAAAUAUAAACGCAUAUAAUAAAAAUAAUAAUGCUAUUUUAGGGAAAAAAAAAUGUGGACAAACACUUCGUAUUUUUAUAUAUAAUAUAGAUUAAAAUAAUUUUUUAUAAAGAACAGGUUGUCAUUGGAAAAAACAAACAUCAUUUGAAUUAAUUAGAUAUAAUAAUGAGUGGAUAUAAUCACAUAUAAUAGAAAUAAUAAGACUAUUUUUGAAAGAAAAAAAAUUGUCAAAACACCUCUUAAUAUAUAUAUACACGCAUGAUAUAGUAUUGUUUCUAUUUCUAAAGAUUGCCCUCAGACUGCUGAAGCCUACCUGCAUCAGUAAAAAUUGAAUAACAUAUACUCAAUGUAUUUAGCGAGUCUCAUAGUAAUCUUAACGUAAACCUGGUGUGAGCUACUUCAAAACAUGCAUAUGACUAUUUCUGCUUACGAAACAGAGGAUUGUGGUUUACAAAUGUUGCAGUUUUGGCGAAGGGAGGUAACAGGAGCAAGAUUGAACAAGAAUGACAGAAGUUGAAAAAGAAACUCAACACUACCAUUAUCGUUAAGACUAUUAUAUCAACCAUUCUUACUAUAUGAGUUCUUUUUCAGCAUUUGGCCUCCCACGCAACCAACUCGCAACACUUUGGUUUGAGGAGAGGUCUUCCUCACACCAUCAUAAAAAAAGAGGCCGCCUCCACUGCCUCCAUUGAUGGUGGCGGCACUUUAGAUUUAGACUUUCAAGGAUAUAGUUGAUUGUUUGAAAUAAUGUUAUGGGUUGUCAUUGUGGUCUUGGAUUAUUGAUUUAGUGGUUUAUACAUAUAAAAAGAGAGAGAUAAGGCAAAACUAACAAUGGGUUUGGUAUUGAUUUUGAGAGAGUUAAAAGUAGUCCCCAUACUUGGAAACGCUUUCUAUACAAAAUUAGGUAUUUGAUAAACUUUUCAAAUUCUCUUUUAACAGUCUAGAAAAUUACUUGAGUUGAUUAAAGGAAAAUAAUUUGAUGCAUGGUUUUUCGAAAAUACUUUUAUAAAAUAUUGUAGAUAAAAGUGCUUUAAUGGAAAUAAUUUCUAAAUGUACUUUAAAUUUCAUAUUUUCAAACUUUCCUAAUCUUUCUUUAAGUGAAACUCAUUUUACCUUUGUCUAUAUGUUUUGACUCUUCACUGAUUUUUUCACCAUCUAAAAAUACUAUGUAAAAUAACGUGGUCAAACAUGAAUCUUGUUAUUAAUAAUUUUAAAAAAUAAAAUAAAAAGUAAAUAAAAAAUAAUAUGACAAGUUUUUUCUACUCAAUCGUACAAAUGUCUUAAAAAAAUAUUAAAAAUAGAGUAAUCAUGUAGGAAAUUAUUAUUUAAGAAAAGAAUCCACUAAGGUUAUUUGGAUAAAAUAUCCUUCUAUUUUUUAUUUUCCUUUUACAUAAGGAUUUCUCAUUAUUUUUAUCUUACCUUUUUUUUUCUUUCCUUUAAUCCUCACAAUAAAAAAAUUGUUAUAGUUCUCAUUAUUCUCUCAUCUCCUCUUUAUUAAUGGUCAUGAAAAAUGAAUUAAAAGAUAUAAAUAACCAAUAUUAUUUUUUCUUCAUAUUUUUUUCUAUUGAUGACAAAGAUUUCUAAAACCCUUACUUUAUUAUUACCAAACCAAGCAAAGGUCAAAUGAUGGCAUACAAUGGAUCUCAUGUAUUUAAAAUUAUACCAAUAUAACAUUAUUGGUCGAUUCUAACUCAAAAUAUUCACUUGCGUGUUUGGACUUCAGAGUUUGCGAGCGUGGAAAGGUUUUUAUUAUUAUUAAGAAUUACAAGAAGUUUUUAAUUCUUCCACAUUUCGCGUCGUGCCUGACAUCAUUCGUAGGUCUACCUCAUGCAUGACAUCAUUUUUUCUGGACUCCUUCUCUAAUCGUACGAGCUGUUUUUUCUUUCCUUUCAUAAUUUCAUUCGUGGGCAAUUGAGGCAGGCAGAAAGGGAGGAUGCAGUCAAAGAAGUCGGAUGAGAGAUAGUGGGUGGUUUUUGUAUUUUUUUGGUACUAUAAUUUGCUUUAAGGUUAAACACAACUUAAUCUCAUUAAUUAAUCAUUAUAAAUAUUUUAUUGUUUUAAAAUUUAAACACUGAGCUUGUUUUUUUAUUGACAUUUCAAAAUAUGAUUACAUACUAAAUAAAUCAGAUUUAUUUUUGUAAAAAUAAUUAUUUAUUUUUCUUGUUUUAUAUAAUUAAGAUAAAGAUAUUUGAAAUAAAAAAUAAGUAAUUUAACAUAUUUUUAAAUAUCCCAAAAUAUCAGAUUACAUUAUAAUAACAAAAAAUUUAAUGAUGAUAAAAUAAUUAGUAAUUAUAUAGUAAUUAAAGUUUUAAAUUAUAUUUGGUUGCUAAGAAAUGUUAGAAAUAUUUUAUGUAAACUUUUAUAAAAUACUUACUGGGUUGUAUGUGACACAUAUUUGGAUGUAUUGAUUUUUUAUUUAAAUGGUUAAUUUAUUAUUUUUAAAAUUUUCUAUUAUGGUAAUUAACAACAUCAAAUCAUACAUUUUUAUUUUUAAUAUUAAUUAAAAAAAUUAUUUGAGUGAAUGUUUACAUAAAUGUGAAUUGGGUUUUGGAGUUAUAAUUAGAGAAAAUAUAUUUGAAUUAAUGUAGAUAAUUCAAAUAUUAUUAAGGUAAGCAAUGAAAUCAUUAAAAUUGAAACAUGAUCAGGUAAAAAACUUUGUCCUCUUCCUUGUUGAUCAUUCUAUAAAUAAAGCAUAAAUAACCAGGGAAUGCACUUGUAUCUAAGCCUACCUUUCCUUUCACUUCUUCAGUGUCACUACCAUGGAUGUGUCUUCCCUUCACACAUCGCUCUCUCUUCUCUUCGUGUUUCUCUUGCUUGCUUUCGGAAUCUUCUUCCCAAGAAGACGAAGAUAUGGGAAUCUCCCACCCAGCCCGCCUGCAGUUCCGAUUAUAGGUCAUCUCCACCUCCUCAAACAACCGGUUCAUCGAUCUCUACAACUCCUUUCACAAAAGUACGGUCCAAUCUUCUCCCUCCGAUUCGGAUCCCAGCUCGCGGUCAUCGUUUCCUCUCCCUCCGCCGUCGAAGAAUGCUUCACCAAGAACGACGUCGUCUUGGCCAACCGCCCUCGCUUUGCGUCCGGCAAGUACAUGGGGUACAACUACACCACCGUUGCCGCGGCAUCAUACGGCGAACACUGGCGCAACCUCCGUCGCCUCAGCGCCCUGGAAAUCUUCUCCUCCAAUCGCCUCAACAUGUUUCUAGGCAUCCGCAGGGAUGAAGUCAAGCGUCUACUCCUCCGACUGGCUCGAGAUUCGAGGGAGGGUUUUGCAAAGGUAGAGCUGAGACCCAUGCUUACAGAGCUAACCUUUAAUAUUAUAACGAGGAUGGUUGCAGGAAAGAGAUACUACGGAGAAGACGUGGAAUAUACGGAGGCUAAACGUUUUCGGGAGAUUAUCAGCCAGCUUUUCGUACUGGUUGGGGCAUCAUCAAAUCCAGCAGAUUUUUUGCCCAUAUUGCGAUGGACUGGGCUCGGAUACCAUGAGAAGAAGCUAAAGAAUAUCAUGAGAGAGACAAAGGCGAUCAUGCAGGGUUUGAUUGAUGAGCAUAGAAGUGGUAAUGACAAGGGUUCGGUGGAUAAUAAUUCUAUGAUCGACCAUCUGUUAUCCUUGCAAAAAACAGAACCAGAGUACUACACAGAUGACAUUAUUAAAGGGCUUGUACAGGUGAGUGAAACGCUGUUUUCGUAUCUGCUGUAUUUUCAAAGUUUAUUCUAAAAUUUCACAGAAAACAAAAAUAAAAGUGCAGUUUAAUACUUGUAGUGGGAAACUUGGUUUUUGAAGUGUAUAAUGUUGGUUUUUUUGUGGGUUUUUUUACUUCUUUUUUCAUCUCACAAAUUCUUCAAUACAGGUCUUAAUUCUUGCUGGAACCGACACUUCAGCAUCAACAAUGGAAUGGGCAAUGACCCUUCUCCUCAAUCAUCCGGAUGUUUUGGAGAAAGCUAAAGCAGAGUUGGAUAUGCACGUUGGAAAGGACCGCUUGAUAGAAGAAUCUGAUCUUCCCAAACUGCGGUACCUUCAAAGUAUCAUUUCUGAGACUUUGAGAGUAUUUCCUGUGACCCCUCUGUUACUGCCCCAUAUGUCCUCAGAUGACUGUCAAAUAGGGGGUUUUGAUAUACCACGAGGCACAUUAUUACUGGUAAAUGCAUGGGCCCUUCACAGAGACCCUCAGGUGUGGGUAGAUCCUACAAGUUUCAAACCUGAAAGGUUUGAAAAUGGAGAACGUGAGAAUUACAAACUAGUACCAUUUGGAAUAGGAAGAAGAGCCUGUCCUGGAUCUGGCCUAGCUCAGCGAGUGGUGGGUUUGGCUUUGGGGUCGUUGAUUCAGUGCUAUGACUGGAAGAAGAUUAGCAACACCGCUAUUGACACCAUUGAAGGGAAAGGGCUGACCAUGCCCAAACUGCAGCCAUUGGAAGCCAUGUGUAAGGCACGUGAGAUUAUAAACGAGGUUCACUUGAACUAGAAAACAAUAUUUAGUUGGUAUUAGUACUCUGGUAUUUUGCUUGUAUUGAUGCAAUAAGCAUUCUCUGAUGCAUUUCGAGUAUCGUCCCCGUUAUAAAUAUGUAUUAUAUGCUAAGAUUGUCGUUAUGUCGAUUAUCAUACUAGCAGAUUUCUUUUGCUUUGGAGAGCAGAGUGGAAAUCUAAAUCUUAAAAUCAUAAUAAUAAAAAUAUUGAAAUAUUUAAUUUCUCAUUUGAAUAUGCCUUUUUUUUUUUUGCCUGUUAAAUUUUUAAAUUGAUCGUUUUCCUCUUUGAUUUUAAAACUUAAUGGUUCUGUUGAAUAUAUUUGAGAAUGAAAAAAAAAAUCAUUAUUUUUUGUUUGAGAAUGUGUGCCAAUGCUGUGCAGAUGAAUGAACUGUUGCAUGAUAAUGGACUAACAAUAUGUGUCAAAUUGACGAUCAUUCUAACUUUGUCUAAUUCAUAUUAUAUCAUUUUUCUGACUUGAAAAAUCUCCCUCCAUUAUCCUCUCCCAUGACUUUAAUUUCACAUCACUUUUCAACCCAAAGUUGAAGCUCAACGCCAUGAUUAUCAUGUUGACCAACGUAACGAGAAUUUCCAUUCGUCGAGGCUCAUUCCAAAUUAAAGCAGACAGCCUGACCAUACUAUUGCGUGGGCCUUAAAUUUUCUUUAGUCCAGAAUCUCAUAUCAUUCAGUCUUAUCUUAAUUUUCUGGAUUAUCCUCUCCACUAUGGAUAAUUGUGUUUUGGAUCCAACUGAACUCAAAAAUUAAUAUUUGGUUCAUAUAAUUUACAUAACUAAUAAAAAUAAUAUAAGAUGUUAAGAAAUCAAUACACCUUUCAAAUUUUUAUAUAUUACCUUUUAAAAAUAUAAAAUAGUGAUGAACUAAAAUACCUAAUAACCUUUCGGAUAAGCUUUUUUAAAAUUUGGAUUUUAAUAAUUUUUACACUACUAUUCAUGCAACCAUAAUAAUUCUAUUUUAACAAUUUGAAUUUUUCAUUGUUUUUAAUUUUUUAUUAUAAAUAAUUGAAAAUCAACAUUAUUUUCUAUUUUAAAUUAUAAAUAAAGAAAAAUUAUGUUCAAAAACUAUUUUAAAAAAUACUUUCUAAAAAAAUGGUAAUAUGAUUUAUAUUUUUUAUAUUUUAUUUUUGAAAAAACAUUUAAUUAAAAAAUGAAAACUAUUUUUAAAAAUAAAAAUUGAAAACCUUGUUUAGUACUAUUUUUUAUGUGAAAAUAAUAAAAAGAAUUAAAUUUUAUUUAUUGAUUAUCCAUUUUUAUUUUUUUUCCAUUAGUUAUUUUAAUAAUAAUAAUAAAAAUAUAGUUGGUUUACAAUUAAACAAAUGAAUUGGUUAAUUAUAUGUUUUUUUAUGUGACUAUCUUUUACAUGAAAAAUAAUUAAAUAACUAAAUUAUAUAUGUUUAUUACUAUUUUUAAUUUUAUUUUCUUUAUUUAUUUUUUGUAUAAUAGAAAAUUUUAAUAUAUCCAUAAUUAACAAAGUAAUAGAUUAAUUGUACACAUUUUGAUUUAUUAAAAUAAAUUAAUUUCUAAUUUAAAUAAAUAAAAUGAAAUAAGUAAAUAAAUUUGAGGUUAUUUCUAUUUUUUAACAUAUCUUAUAUUAAUAUUUUUUAUAGUUAAAUAAAUUUUUUAUUAUUUUUUUCUUUAAUUCCAAAAUAAAAUAAAUAAAUAAAUAAAUAAAUUUGGUAUUUUCUAACUGAUCUUAUAUUCAUAUUUCUUAUGAUUAAAUAAAUUUUUUAUUCUUUUUUCUUUAUUUCCAAAAAUAAAAGGAAAUAAAUAAAUAAACUUGGCUUAAAUAAUAAUUUUUAAGUAAUUUCUUUGUCUUAUUUUUAAUUACAUUUUGUAUUGAAAAUAAAAUAAAAUAACGUUUUAUUUAACUCGCAUAUGACAAUUCGAAUACUUAUCCCACUAAUGAUGUUUGAAAGAAAAUUUUGUUUUUCUAUCUUCUACUAUUUUUUGAACCAAACCAAUGAAAACAUGGUUAAUCUACGUAUGAUUACACAUUGAGUAGGGGUAUAUGAAAUUUUGAGUCACUGUACAAGGUAUUUACACUAAGUAUACAUGAUAAAUAUAUUAAUUGUAUUAGGGUGUACAAGACUAUUAUUUGUGAAAAAUUUUGAGUGAUUCUGAAAAACUUGUUUAUUUAUUUUUCCUAACUGAUGAUAGAUGACAUUCCUUACACACAUUGGUUAAGUAUACAUUCAUUUCAUGCAUUUUAUCUAAUUUGUAUAUGGUCAUUUAAAUAAGUACCUCACUUAUGAUGAUUGUACAAUAAAAUUAUACAACAAUUUUUCUUCUUUUUUAAAACCAAACUAAUGCAAACAUGGUUAACUGAAUUAUUGUCAGAUAUUCAUGAAAUGAUGUAUGAAAUUUGAGUUAUUAUACAAGGGUGUUACACUAACUGUACAAGACAAAUUUACUAAUUGUAUAAAGGUGUAUAAGAUUACUUUUUGUUAAGGAUUUCAAGUGAUUUUGAAAAACUUUCUCAUUUUUUUAACUCAAGGAUUUUUGCGCACUCAAAUUCUCUCACUUAAGAAUUGUUUCGAAUUUUAUUUUUAAAUUUUAUCAUCAAAAUUUUGUAAUUGCAUAUUUCGUUUUUUUAGUUUUAGUAAUGUUCUUUCUUUCCACUAUUUUUUUUUGUGAAAUUUUAUCCAAUUUAAUCUAUAUUUAAAAUUAUAAUCAUAUUUAUCAAAUUUUUUUACUAAAAUUAUCUUUAAUUUUUUUAAUAUAUUUAUACUCAUUUAUUUAAAAAAAUGAAAAACUAAUUUUUUUUUAUAAACAUGUUCUAUUAUCUUUCAAGUAAAAAUUAGAUAAGUUUGAAAGUUAAUAAAAAAAAUUAAAUACCACUUUCAAUAAAUUGUAUUGACAGUUUUCUUAUUGUGAGUCAAAAUACUUUGUAUUAGUCUAUCUAUAUAAGAAAAAUUAUUAAUAUAAUAUUAGAACUUUAUAUCUUAGUUAUUUUUUUCAAUAAAUUUAUCUUUUAAAAAAUUUUAAAAUAAAAACAUUAAAAAUUAAAAAGCUAAAAGGAUAUAUAAUAAGAGUGAAGUGAUAGUCAUUUUUAAAAUUUUUUAAAUAUGGUUAAUGUAGAAUAUAUAAAAAAUAAUUAAAAAUAAGAGAAAAAGUAUAAAUGAAAGGGUAAUAUAAAUUUAAAAUAAAAAAUGAAAAUUAAACUAAAAGAUAAAUACAAAAGAUAAAAAAUAUUUGGAUGAAAAAUUCCAAAAUUUUUAUCCUUACUUAUAAUAAGAGUAAAAAGAUUCAAUAUAUUUAAAAAUAAAAAUUAAAAAAAAUAAAAAUAUUAUUACUUUUUAUUUGACAUAAAAUAGAAUUAUAGAUUGGAAAAAAAAAAGUUAGAAAUGGGUAAUACUUAAUAGGGAAUAGAAAAGGGAAAAAAACACAAAAAAAUUAAAAUUCACACUCACUAUGUGCUUAUGUAAGGGUUAAGGGUAUUUUAGGGAUUAAUGAAAGACAAUAUUAUUCUUCUCAAUUUUCAAACUUUUUUUUGGAUGUUGGACUUAAUUAUGAAAGAUAUAUGAAAUCGAUUUUAAUUUUGGCUCACCAAAACACAAUUCUCCCAAAAUGAAUUUAUCAGAAUUUGUGUUAAACAGGCCGCCUCCACUGCCCCAUGGAGGAUGGCGGCGCUUCAGGCGUAGACUUUCAAGGACAACUUGGCUGUUUGAUACAUUUCCUAUAAAAAAUAGGUGUUUGAUAAACUUUUGAAAACCUCUUUAUCUAUUCCUAUCACAGUAUGAUGCAACUUUAUCACAAGAGUCUACUCAAUGUAAGACAAACUCUCUGAUUGCUUAAUAUUUUUUGUAUUAAAAAGAAUAGUUUACACCUCAUUCAUAAUCGAUUAUUGUCUUUCUUAUUGAAAGUGUAGCCGCCUGUCUCAUGUGAUUUUGGCAGGGCUGUCAAUAAAAUAAUAAUUUUAUCUUCAUCUUUAAUCUUAAUUUUUAUUCUCAAUAAAUGAGUUAUGCAAUUCUUAAAUUUAUUUAUGUGAUCCUUAAGAUUUGUUCUUUCAUCCAUUUUGAACUCAUAUAAUUACUUCUUCAAAUAUAAUCUAUUUGUUAAAAAUUUUAAAAUAUAAGUUUUUUUUGUCAUUUUUGCCAUAAAUCAGAAGAAGAUCUUUCAUUCAAAACACUAUAUUUUAGUUAACGAGUUAGACUUAAACAAAUAGCAUUUACUACUUUUGCUUUAAUUCUUCCCAUUGUUCAUCCACUAUGCUCUUCGGUUUCUUAUCUUGUAAUGCUUUAAAAAGUCCUUGUUGCACCAAAAUAUCUAUAACCAUAUUUUGCUAAAUACGGAGAUGAUUUUUUCCAUCAAAUGACUUACUAUCAUAUUUUAUACCAAACAUCAUCUUUAAAAUAAUUUUUCUAUGGUUUUCACACUAUGACUCUAGUACCACUUGUUGAAAGAAAUCACAAUACCCAAAUGUAUUUUGAAACAUAAAGAAAAUUGUGGACUCCGCAUUUCGACCCAUGCGUUUUCACUCGAUGGCGAGCUCAAUUUUUAUUUGAAAAUGAUUUUAUUUAUUAAAAAAUGACUUGGAGUCGUCACUUAUUUUUACUUUAUUUUUUAAAAGGGUAAAUAAAAUAAGAAAGAAAACUCUAAGUGUGACUCAUUAUUUUGAAAAAGGUGGUCUAUGAAAAAUCGGAUCGGGUUCGAGGGUUAGGUUACUUAUCAGGAAGGUAUGGUAAAGACUGUAACACCCUUUUAAGUCCCUAAAAUCGGGUCUCUACUAAUAAAAUGAAGCUGAUGUGGCAAUCAAUAUGGAAAUCAAUGGAUACUCAAAUCGAUUAUGCACCUAUGAGAAUCAAAACAUGCAUAAAGAAUGACCAAAAUGAGAGUAGAUGCAUACCUGGGCCACGAAUGAGCAAUGUGCUAUCAUAAAAAAUGGGGUCAAUGUACAAUAAAGAACACAAAACAUAUCACCUGUAUCACCAAACAAAAAUUAAAAUUGUUCGAGGAAAAACUGGAUUUUUGAAAAUUGGAGUCUUAAAGAUUAUUUGAAAAUUGAUAUUUUAGAGAUUAAAUGUAAGAAUGAGAAUUUUAAAAAUUAAAUUUGAAGAAAUUUUGAAAGUUAUUUGAGAGUUUGGGAUUUAAAAAAAUUAAAUUACGAAAAUUGGGAUUUUGGAAAUUAAAUUUUAAAAGAAAUUAGAAUUGAAAAUUAUUUGAGAAGUAGAAACUAUGAAAAUUGAAUUAUAAAAAUGAAAAUUAAGUUCGAAAAUUGGACAAUUGGAAUUUCAGAGAACUAAAUUUGGAAAUUGAAAUUUUGAAAAAUUAUUUUAAAACAAAAUUUUAAAUAAAUGAAUAAGUGAAUAAAUAAAUGAAUGAAAUAAUAAUAAUGACGAAAUAAUAAUGAUUGGAUACAUAAUUACGGAAGUUAGGAUUUCGGAAAUUGGAAAUUGAACUUAGGGAUUGAAAAUUUAAAGAAUUAUAAAUGAAUAAGUGAAUAAAUAAAUGAAUAGAAUAACGAAAAUAAUAAUGAUUGAGUAAAUAAUUAUGAAGAUGGGAAUUUUGGAAAUUGGAAAUUUGAAGAAUUAUUUAGAGAGGGAAUUUUAAAUAAAUGGAUAAGUGAAUAAGUAAAUGAAUUGAAUAACGAAAAUAAUAAAGAUCGGAUAAAUAAGUGCGAAAAGUAAAAUUUUAGAAAUUGGAAAUUAUUUAGAUAUUGAAAAUUUGAAGGAUUAUUUAGAGAUAAAAUUUUAAAUAAAUGAAUGGAAUAAUAAUAAUGACAAAAUAAUAAAGAUUAGGUAAAUAAUUGCGAAAAAUAGAAUUUUAAAGAUUGGAGAUUGAAUUUAGAGAUUGAAAAUUUGAGAAAUUAUUUAGAGAUGAGAUUUUAAAUAAAUGAAUAAGUGAAUAAAUAAAUGAAUGAAAUAAUAAUAAUGACAAAAUAAUAAAGAUUAGAUAAAUAAUUGUGAAAAAUAGAAUUUUAGAGAUUGAAGAUUGAAUUUAGAGAUUGAAAAUUUGAGAAAAUUAUUUAAAGAUGAGAUUUUAAAUAUAUGAAUAAGUGAAUAAAUAAAUUAAUGAGAUAAUAAUAAUAACGAAAAUAAUCAUUAAACAACUGAAUGUGAAUAGUUGAAUUUUUGAGAUUGGAAAUUAAAUUUGCAAACGGAAUUUUAAAAAAUUGAACUUUAAUGAUUGAAAUUUUUAAAAGAAAUAAAUAAAUAAAUAAAUGGAAUAAUAAUAAUAAUAAUAACGAAAAUAAUAUUUGAACGAAUGAACGUGAAUAGUGGAUUUUUGAGAUUAAAAAUUAAAUUUGAAAGACGAAAUUCUUUUUUUUUAUUUAUAAAAUAUGUUUAAAGAUUGGAAUUUUUAAAAUAAAUAAAUAAAUGAAAUAAUAAUAAUAAUAACAAAAAUAAUACGAUGAACGUGAAUAGUAAAAUUUUUGAUAUUGAAAAUUAAAUUUGAAAAACGGAAUUUUGAAGAAUUAUUUGAAAGUGAAAAAUGGAGGAUUAAGUCUAAGAAAAUGGCAUUUUGAAGAUUUAUUUGAGAAUGAAAUUUUUGAAGAUUUAAUUUAAAAGGAAAUAGAGUUGCGAAAAUUUAUUUGAAGAUAACAUUUUAAAAAAGAUUAAAUUCGAAAUUAUGGAAUUUUGUUGGAGAAUUAAAUUUAAAAAUUUGAAUCUUGGAGAAUUAGGCCUAAAAUUAGAACCUUAGAAAAUGGAAACUUGGAAAAUUGAAUUUAAAAAAAAAAAGAAGUUUAGUUAAAUUGAAUUUUUGGUAAUCAAAGUUUUAUAAACUAAAUUUAAAAUCAAAUUUCAGGAAAUUAUUUCGAUAAUGAUAUUUUGUAUAAUUAAAUUUAAAAAUGGAGUUUUGGAAAAAUUAACUUGGAUAUCAAAACACGAAGAAAUAACAAAAAUAAAUAGGUAAAUAAAUAAAGGUAUGGUGAUUUAGGCCAAAAGUGGCCAUGCAAAAUGGGGCCCGGGGUUGCUAUCAGGAUUGCAACCGAAGGUUGAGAACAAUCAGGUGUUGUUUUGUUCAGGGUACUUGAAAUAGCAGAAAAAUUCAUAAGGCAUUUCCCUGUCAAGAUUGGCUCAUAUGUAGCCGGAAAGGAUGGGUACAUUGGUGAAAAAGGUUCUGUAGGAGAUGAAAGAUGUGGAAGAACAUCAGGUGAUAUUUCUAAGGGUUCAAAGAGAUCAGUAUUAUGUGGUUUUGCCAAAUCAGUCGUGGAAGAUACAUGAUUAUACUUAACAAGUGUCAGCUGUUCCACUACAUCUUAGAAUCUGGAUAACCAGAUGGUGAAUAAAAAAAAAACUGAUUGCAUAAAGAACCCUUAUGACGAGUAAUGGUCUGUAGACAACAACAUACCAAAAUAAAGGCCUAUUUCCCUCAGCUGUAUAUCCAAAAACAGCUCACAACAACAUACCAAAACUUGAAGAUGGGGAGCCCGGAAACCAUUUUUCGAGGCGAGAUCAUGCUGUGGGGGUAAUGGACGAUGAACCUGGGGGUGAGAGGAGCUGUGGUGUUUUGUGAUGAAGAUGUUUCCCGUCAGAACAACGGCGGUGAAAAGGCUCAAACUCCGGCCAUUGCUCUUCGUCUCCGUGAAAAACUCACGGCUGCCAACAAAACAUUGGAUCGAUCCGCAAGCCAAAAUGAUCCAAUUCGAGGAGCUUUGUUAUCAGAGGAAGCGUAUGGAAAUUGGGCCAGAAAUGGCAGAAGAGGAGGUCACAAUCAAAACCAUUGAAGAAAACUCUCAAGCUUUCUCUCUCUACAAACUGAAAAUUCCCCUGCUAAUCUUCUUCUUCCUCUUUUCUCUCCGUUUCUCUAAUUUCUCACUCUUCCAAAAUAUCUCCCGCCCUCAAGCUCUCAAAAAUUCCCCAGAACCCCACUCCAUCUCUGGAAAACUCACCCCAAAAGAACCCCAUUUCUCCCGAUUUUUUUUUUCUUCUCUCUCCCCUCAAAAAUCUUCUUCCCGCUCAGUUUUUCUUCUCCCACAAGUCUGCACCUGCUUCCUGCUACCACCAUGCCGUCUUUGCCACAUGUCCCAUGCGGGUUCACCUGGAAGUUGUCCCCUACUUUCGAAUGACUCUUUUCGGAUUUGAGAAAAAAAUAUUGGUCCAAGAGGGGUCCACAAAAAUAAAAAUAAUUAAAGAUUUAUGUUAUUUGGUAUAAUUGCCUAUGCCUAUUAGAUAGGAGGAUCGAAUUUAUUAAUGGUCAUGAAAAGGAAUUAAGACUUAUGAAUAACCAACAUUAUUUUUUCUCCAUAUUUUUUUUUCUUUUUCUUUUAUGAAAAAGAAUUUUAAAACUCUUUACUAUUUCUCAACUAAGCAAAAAACUCACCACUAUUAACUAUGAAAUAGUGUUAAGUGAGGAUAUGAUAAGGUCAAAGAAUGAUAAAUAAUGAAUCUCAUGUAUUUAAAUUAUGCUGAUUUUAAUAUUAUUGGUUAGUUCUAAAUCAACCUUGAACUUGAUUAUUAGAAUAACAAUAAAACUAUAUUUAAAUGAUAUCUAAAAUGUUUUGAAAACAAUUUAAAUUUUAUAAAUUAAGUACUUAUAGACAUGUGAGAAUGCAAAUAUCUAAUUUUCAAUAUAUCCAUGAUUAAAAUAAUUAUAUUUUUAUAAAUAUUAUUAUUUAGAAAUAAUAUGUAAGUCAAUUAAUUGAUAAUAUUAUUAUUUAUAAAUAAUAUAUCGACAAUAAUUAAUAAUUAAUAUUUAUAUAUUGAAUCUAGUACAUAAAAUUAAAUAAUUUUAUAAUACAGAUAUUUUAAAUAAUUUUAUUGUUAUAAAAAUAUAGUUUCAAACCAUAUUAGCAUUACUACAUUUUUUUUAGAAUUAUUAUUAUUUUUUUUGAAAAAAUCAUAUUUUCAAAAAUAUAUAUAUUAUAGGUUUAAAAUAUGAUUAAAAUAAUUAUAUUUUUAUAAAUAUUAUUAUUUAGAAAUAAUGUGUAAGUCAAUUAAUUGAUAAUAUUAUUAUUUAUAAAUAAUAUAUCCACAAUAAUUAAUAAUUAUUAUUUAUAUAUUGAAUCUAGUACAUAAAAUUAAAUAAUUUUAUAAUACAAAUAUUUUAAAUAAUUUUAUUGUUAUAAAAAUAUAGUCUCAAACCAUAUUAGCAUUACUACAUUUUUUUUAGAAUUAUUAUUAUUUUUUUUGAAAAAAUCAUAUUUUCAAAAAUAUAUAUAUUAUAAGUUUAAAAUAUGAUUAAAAAUAAGAAACGUCUUUGUAAGAAAUUAUUUCAAUAUAAUUGUAUUUUUUUAUCUUUUAGAGAAAACUAUGAUUUUUGUUUUAAGAUUUUUUUAUUUAUUUAAGAAAUCAUAUUUUAAAGAAACAAUUUUAUUUAAAAAAUAGAGAUACAAACAAAAUAAAUAAAUUCGGAAAAAAAAACUUAGAAGUGAUAUUUUAUCAAAAAAAAAAAAAAAAAAAAUGUACAUCAUUCUCCAAGUAUCUAAAAUAUAACCCAAGUGUCAAAUCAAUUCAAUUCACCACCAAUUAUUCCAUAUUAAAUUAAAUUCAUCGUCACUUUUCCAAACAUUCACCAAUAUAGCACAGUGGGUCAACGGAUAAAAUAAAUCUGAAAAAAAAAACUUAAAUAUAGAAUUUUAUCAUGAAAAAAAUUGAAUAACAUAUAUUAUAUGUUUAGAUUACAACCCAAAAGACCUGAUCAUCAAACUAUGCCCCAAUUAAUACCAGAAUAAAUCAUAAGCAAGUCGGUCAGAAACAGAGCAUAUUUCAUCAAUAACACAUAAAAAAAAAAAAAAUUAACCUAUUUAAAAGCCUGAUAAAAUUCACACAAUUAAUUCAACAUGUCUACUUUAUAAUCACAUAAGAAUGAUUUUUAAAAUAAGACAAAUAGACCCUGAUUGCAGGAUAGGUAAGUAAGUGGAAAAAUAAUUUUUUUCUCCUACUUGGGGAAUCAAUUUUUAACAAAUGAAGAAUAUGAAGUAAUUAAGAAGCUUAGAUUAAAUAAAAAAAAAAAGAAAAGAAAAGGAAAGAAAAGAAAAAGAAAUAACUUAGUUUUUCAUAAUCAACUUGAGUGUCCAAAACAAGGUCAGAUUGGGAAAUGUGUAAAAACUAACUUAAUUCUCCUAAUUGAAAAAGGAUUUUAAGCCCAAACAAAAUUUAAUUAACAAGUUUUAAGAAGUGAAAAUAUAUUUCAAAUAUAAAUUUUUUUUUAGAAAAACCCUAAAACAUUUGUUUUUAAUGGUUAGAAAUACAUCAAACAGUGAUAUUAGACUUUUGAGAAUUUAAAGUAUGUAGGGCUCACCAAAUCCCUAUUUACUAUACACUAGUUUAAUUUAUGUAUCCUCAACCUCAUAUGAACAUUAUAGUAAGUUCAUCAAGCUUAAAUUUGAAGUAUGUAGGGCUCACCAAAUCCCUAUUUACCAUACACUAGUUUAAUUUAUGUAUCCUCAACCUCAUAUGAACAUUAGUAAGUUCAUCAAGCUUAAGGAUGAUUCCAUUUUUAUCCAGAACCAUGAACUUUGAUUUGUGUUUCGAAGAAAAAGAAAGUAAUUUUUUAAAAAAUAAUGAAAAGAUGCAUACAAUUAAAAAUUGGUUGCAUUUCCUUUUACAUAAAAAAAAUUUAAACCCUAGUGACCCAAGAUAACAUUUUUAAGAAAAGUUUAAAAAUUAAUUUUUUAAGAAAAGGAUAUGAAAAAGUAAUAUUUUUGCCAAUAAAACACACAAAAUAUUAACUGUAACCACUCCAAAAAAGUGUAGGAUGACAUACAAUUUAAUUAAUAUCUAUAAUCAUUACCAAUAAACAACCACAAAAGGACCCAAUGGAAGACCAAAAUGAGUAACCUAACCCUCCUAUCUUAUAUAAUCAGGGCCUAAAUUGAGUGAGAAUAUGCCCAUAAAUAACAAACCUAACCCUAACCCUAACAGACACCAAUGAAUAGAUAAAAUAUAUCAACUUUAUACAUAACCAUAAUUAAUAAAUGAUAUCAAAACAUGUUAUUAUAAAAAAAUGUUUAAAUUGAUAAUCAAUUAACGAUUCUUUUUUUAGAUAUACAAAUUAAACAUGGAGCAUCAAAACAAUGGAUUAAAGAUUUUUAAAAAAUAAAUUAAUAUGUGAUCAUCAAAACAAACGACUAAUAACUUUAUACAUUGGAUAAUGGGCCGAUGUCCAUGACUUUCAUCCAACCCAAAUCAUAAAAAAGGGUAGAUACUAUUCAUGACAUAGCAUUUAAAGGAUUUUAUUUUUUUUUCGAAAGAAGGAUCAAAUAAGUUUUCGUGAAAUAGGAUACUCUAGUGAAAGGAAUGAAAAAAAAAAAAAGAAGACAAAUCUUGUCAAGACAAUGAGAAGUAUACAUCAACGAAAAAAAUAAAUAAAUUUAACACCCAACUUAAAAAUUUGUAUAGUUUUGGGAAGUAUCAUGCCAAGUUAAAAUAACCUAAUUAAAAAAAAUUGUAGAUAGAGAGUGCUAAUUUCGUCGAUCUUUAUAAAUCUGAUAACAUGAGCAGGCAUCUUGACUUGCACCCAUUAACAAAUAAAUGUUCUACUAAUAUUGGCUCUGUCAUAAGCAACCUAAGAGUUAAAAUAAAGAAAAAAAGAACAAUGGUGUUAUUCACCUAAUUUCAAAUAUAAUAAUGAUAUCCACUUUCGACUUCUAUCGAAAUAGAAAUUAGAUAUAAUUAUUAGGUUAGAAACAUCUCAUAUAUAUUAAUUCAAACUUUCAUUUACACCUUGAAUAAAGAAAUCCUUCAUUCUAUCUAAUGUCUUUGAUACAUCCUUACAUUUCUUUCUACCUCAUAUUGUAUUUAUGAGAUCAUUAUCUUCAUUUCAUAUCUUUUUCUGUUGAUAACUUAAAAUAUCGAACUUACCAUACAACUAAAAUAAUAAAAAACUCAAUCAAUGAGUGAUCAUCAAAACAAACAACUAAUAACUUUAUACAUUUGGUAAUGGGCCGAUGUCCAUGACUUUCAUCCAACCCAAAUAAAAAAAAGGGUAGAUACCAUUCAUGACAUAGCAUUUAAAGGAUUUUUUUUUUUCAAAAGAAGGAUCGAAUAAGAUUUCGUGAAAUAGGGUAUUCCAGUGUAAGGAAUGGAAAAAAGGAAGACAAAUCUUGUCAAGACAAUGAGAAGUAUACAUCAAUGGAAAAAAAAAAUUAACACCCAACUUAAAAAUUUGUAUAGUUUUGGCUGUAUCAUGCCAAGUUAAAAUAACCUAAUUAAAAAAAUUGUAGACAGAGAGUGUUGAUUUCGUCGGUCUUUAUAAAUCUAAUAGCAUGAGUUGACAUCUUGACCUACACCCAUUUACAAAUAAAUGUUAUACUAAUAUUGACUCUAUCAUUAGCAACCUAAUAGUUAAAAUAAAGAAAAAAAGAAUAGUGGUGUCAUCCACCUAAUUUCAAAUAUGAUAAUGAUAUCCACUUUUAUUUUCUACUGAGAUAGAAAUUAGAUAUAAUUAUUAGAUUAGAAACAUCUCAUAUAUAUUAAUUCCAACUUUCAUCUACACCUUAAUAAAGAAAUCCUUCAUUCUAUCGAAUGUGUUCGAUUCAUCUUUACAUUUCUUUCUACCUCGUAUUAUAUUUAUGAGAUCAUUAUCUUCAUCUCAUAUCUUUUUCCACUUAUAACUUAAAAUAUCAAACCUACCAUACAACUAAAAUAAUAAAAAAAACCCCAUCAAUGAGGUCUCAUUUCACAAAAAUUGGAAUGGCAGAUGUAUUCUAUUAUUGGUGGGCCUCAGAGGAAUUUUAACAUUUCAGCAUUGGGCCUCCUUUGCAGCCAAGUCGUCAUGCUAUCAUUUAAGAAACCUCUUGCCGCAGUCUGCGUUAUGGAAGAGGAGCUGAACUCCACUGCCUACACUGCCAUUGAUAACCCAGUUGGUGUGAGAUUCUUCACAAAAGAUGGGCAAGAUCUAGAAGAUAAUAGUACUGCUCAUUGAGAUUUACCCAAAAAGAAAAAAGAAAAAGAAAUGAAGAUAAAAAAGGGAAAAUUGGGAUUCUUCAUUUUUAUAAUUGGUACAAAUUAAUAAAAUAUAAUUUCAUGGAUCACGAAGCGAAACAAAACCACAUAUACUUUUUUGCAUGUUGACAAUGUCAUGACCCAAAUUCCGGGCGACCCAAAAUUUGGCCAGUGAUCCUAGGUCAAAGGUUUGACCCCAAGGGUUUCUCUUAUUCCACGUUGGCAGUCAACUAAAACACUCUAAUUUUUUUUUUUUUUUUCAUAUAAGUCCCACUAGGGUUCUCACCAACUAACAAUAUUUUAAACCUUACUUAAACACAUCAAGAUUUAAUAAACAUCAUUGCAUCCCAAAAUAAAAUUUCAUAAAAAUCCCCUUAAUCAAACUAAGGUCUUAUUACAUUAUCCAUAAUUCACUUAUUACAAGGUCUCAAUACCACAACACAAUAAAAAAAAAAAACCUUUUCCACUAAACCGCUUCAGGGGCAUCCUGAAGUCCUCCCUGUCCCAUCUGUGGAUCCUUAGGAGUGAUAUCUGCAUCUAAAAAUAUAUAAAAAGAAAGGAGUGAGCAUUUCCACAUUGCUCAGUAGGGUGCCUAACACCCAAAUGGUUAAUGGAGGAUUACUAUAUUUUAAGAACCCAAAUGCAACAAUUCACCAAUAUAAAUCAAGUCACACAAUUUAACAUACAACACUAUACUUAAUUCCACAACAUCCACUCAUUAAAUGAAUACAUAUAAACGUGUGACACACAAUCAUACAAUGCACUAUCGUUCUCGGGCUUUCACCGAAAGAUACGCGUCCGCACCCAAAUAUACUCCCCAUUUGGAGUCUUCCCGGGGUAAACUUUUGGGUCUUUCACCCUAGGGAUCUCUCUCCCUUCUUAGUUCGUCUCACACGGGCUUUCACUUUUCAUCACUAUUUUAUUUUUUUCCAUUUCAUACACUUUUCACAAUUUUUUUUUUUCAUUUCUUCAUACAACCAUGAUGCAAAUGAAUGCCACAAAUUCCAAAAUUCCUUAAUAAUUUCUACAAUUCCAAUAAUUUCAACAUUCUCAAUAACCCAAUAAAAUAAAAUUUUCACAUUAAAAUUCCCGAAAAUAUACCAAAAAAUUUUCGAAAAUUCAAACAUCAAUAUACUUGAAUUUAUAUCACAAUUUCAGAAUUUUUCAAAAACUCUAAUAAUUCCCAAUAUUUGAAAAUAACUAAUUUUUCACAAUAAAAUUACCGCAAAUAUUCCAAUCAAUUUUCAAAAAUUCAUAAGUCACUAGAUUUAAAAUCUUGCCCUAAUUCCGGAAUUUUCCUACAUUUCUAGCAAUUUUUAACAACCUAAAAUAAUUAUUUAUUAAUUACAAAGAAUUCCGGAAAUUACAAAAAAAUCCAAAAAAAAUCCCAAAUCAUUCCAAAAAAUUCACACAACAUCAAAAUUACCUAAUUAACUCAUAAUUAUCAGAUUUAUAAUUUUUUUCCAAUGAAAAAUACAUUAAAUUUAAGUUUUAGGGUUAGUUUUCCCCUACCUCAUAUAUGAAAAUUUGGCCGUUAAAAACGAAAUCAGCCAUCGUAGACUUGUUCCUCUAGUCGAAUAGAGCACCUCCACCGAAUUUGGGCCGAAACAGAGGUUGUUUGCCCAUCCAAACGGCCGGUCAAAGAUCCGGCGAGUGACCAAAUUUUCUGCAGUAGCCCCCCUCUCUCUCUCUCUCUCCCCGCGUGCUGCCCAUUUUCCAAUUCUCCCCUUUUUCCUUUUUUUUUUUUAACAACAAAGACUUCCUACCACCAGCCCAUAUCUAAGCCUAAUCCAUGACAUCACCCACUUAAGCCCAACUCCAUUAUUAUUAUUAUUUUUUUUCUUUUACAACCCAUUACCUUAAACGGCCAAUAUUUAAAGCCCAAUGAAUAUUUUUAUUUUAUUUAUUUUAUUUUAUUUUCUUUUCUUUAUUCUAAUUGUUUUAUUUGAUUUCCAAUUCAUUUUUUUUUAAUUUUCCGGAAAAUUUCAAUUUCUAAAAUCCUAAGAAAUUUUCUACCCUAAGGCUGACAUGGCAUAAAAUUUCAACUCGUUUAAUUGACCGACACAAUAAAACGAAAUUCACCAAUCCGAAAUUGACACGUGUUCUCCAAAUACUUUUCUUUUUGACUUUUCAAUCAUAACACAAAAUAAGACUUUUUAAACUAAAAAUGUUAACGUGUCAUAAAAUACCCGGACAAUCUAGAACACCUAAGCAAAGAUAUAUCAUAAACAAAUUUUGGCUUUAUCAGGACUCUUAACAGCCUUCAGAUCUGAACCCAUCUUUCUCUUAUGUUUGUCAUCAACACAACCAUGGAAAUUACAUGGCUAAGCACAUCUCUAUGUCUUCUCUUUCUCUUGUUUGCUUUCAAUAUCUUCCUCCAAAGAAGAAGAAUACAUCCCCACCUCCCACCAAGCCCGCCUGCUAUUCCGAUUCUUGGUCACCUCCAUCUCCUCCUUAAACCACCAAUUCAUCGGCAAUUACAGAAUCUUUCUAAAAAAUAUGGUCCUAUCUUCUCCCUUCGCUUCGGAUCCAGUCCUGUUGUUAUCAUAUCCUCUCCGUCCACUGUUGAAGAAUGUUUCACCAAGAACGACAUCAUUUUUGCCAACCGGCCUCGCUUGCUGAUCGGCAAGUACAUAGGCUACAACUACACCACUAUUGCUUCAGCAUCAUAUGACGAACACUGGCGCAAUCUCCACCGCCUCAGCGCACUGGAAAUCUUCUCCUCAAAUCGCCUCAACAUGUUUCUAGGGAUUCGCAGGGAUGAAAUCAAGAUUUUACUACACCGAUUGUCUCAGAAGUCAAGGGACAAUUUUGCAAGGGUAGAGUUGAGACCGAUGUUUACAGAGCUAACAUGUUAUAUUCUAAUGAGAAUGGUUGCAGGAAAGAGGUACUAUGGGGAAGCUGUGGAUAGUGAGGAAGGCAAGCAUUUUCAGAAAAUAAUGAGAGGGAUUUUUGAACUGGCUGGGGCGUCAAAUCCAGGAGAUUUUUUGCCUUUACUACGGUGGGUUGAUUUUGGGGGUUAUGAGAAAAGUUGGUGAAGCUCAAUAGAGAGAAAGACGUGAUCUUCCAAGGUCUUAUUAAGGAGCAUAGAAGUCCUGACCAGGGUCUAGUGAAUAAAAACAGCAUGAUCGAUCAUCUGCUUUCACUGCAAAAAUCAGAGCCAGAAUAUUACACAGACGAAAUCAUAAAAGGGCUUGCACUGGUGAGUGAACUUCUGCGUUUUUGUCUUUCAGAAACAGGUCGCCAAAAAGAAUAAUUCUAUUUAAGCCUUGGCUUGCUGGUUCGCUUCUUAGAAAAGACACUGACCAUAAAUGAUUCAUUUGCCAUUAAGUCUGCAGGAGAUCAAGCGCUGCAUAUUCUUUUAGCGCUGCAUAUUCAGUUUUAUUUUCAUUGAUAACAAAAUUUUGCAGGUGUGAGGAAAUAAAGAGUGAAAAAGCAACAAGAAAUGAUGUCCUACUUUUCGUUUUCAAUAUUUCUCAAAUCUAUAAAUAUUGCAUUGCGCAGAUCUUAAUUUUUGCUGGUACUGACACUACUGCGACGACAAUAGAAUGGGCUAUGUCUCUUCUACUCAAUCAUCCUGAUGUUUUGAAGAAAGCUAGAGCAGAAUUGGACACUCAUGUUGGAAAAGAUCGUUUGACGGAAGAAUCAGAUUUCCCCAAAUUACAAUAUCUUCGAAGUAUCAUUUCUGAAACCUUAAGAUUGUUUCCGGCAACCCCACUUUUGAUGCCACAUAUUUCUUCAGACAAUUGCCAAAUAGGAGGAUUUGAUAUACCAAGAGGCACAAUAUUAUUGGUCAAUGCUUGGGCCAUUCACAGAGACCCUAAGUCGUGGAAAGAUCCUACAAGUUUCAAGCCAGAGAGGUUCGAAAAUGAGGAAGGUGAGGCAUACAAGCUAUUGCCAUUUGGCUUAGGAAGAAGGGCUUGCCCCGGUGCUGGCCUGGCUAAUCGAGUGAUAGGUUUGACUUUGGGGUUAUUGAUUCAGUGUUAUGAGUUGGAGAGAGCUAGCGAGAAGGAGGUUGACAUGGCUGAAGGGAAAGGAGUCACCAUGCCCAAAUUGGAGCCAUUGGAAGCCAUGUGUAAAGCUCGUGCUAUUAUCAGAAAGGUAUUAUAAAACAAUGAAGCGACAUCUGGUUGAUGUUAGCAUUAUUAAUUGUCAUAUAUUUGUGUCAUACAUUUUAUCAGUGUGCUCAUCAUAUAUAUUUGUUAUGUUAUUUUAGCUAGCCUAGUCUAAAAAUAAAAGAUUAUGAUUAUGUAAACUUUUUUUUGUUAUUUUUUUCUUAUCUAAAUGAGCAAUUUUGUUAUAUAGUUUUCAUGCCAAAAAUAUUAAACAUUCAUCAUAUACAAUAACCUAAAUUGAAUAAUUAUAGAUAUUGCAUCAAUUAGUCCCAUUACCAACUAUUUUUAAAAAAUAUGUUAAAGCUUGCAGUCCUUGCUUCUCGAAAGGCAGUUAAAUUGCCUACAAUUAUGCCAUGUUAUGCAUCCUUAGCACAUUAUGGUGACCCAAUAGGGCAAUCUCCCCCACCUUGGCUUUCUUGGAAUAUUCCCUUCAAAUUGUCUUAACAUGCUUUUGGGUUUCAACAUGCAAUGGCUUUUUCCCAAAGAGCUUUUGGAAGUGUCUUGACCUUCAACAUGCUUCUUGUCAUCUCUACUAGGGUUAUGUUCUUCCUUUUGUUUAUACCGUUUCAUUGAGGUGUAUAGUUAAUUGUUAAUUAUUGUCAAAUGCCCUGACUUUUAUAAUAAUUAUAAAAUUCAUUGAUGGUAAAUCCUCCUAUAAUUAUCAGAUUCUAAUAUCUUAAUAUUGCAACUAUUCUGUCUUUCAACAAGAAUUUUGAAAUCUUUAAGCUUGCUAAAAACCUUAUAUUUUUCUUUUAACAAAUAAAUCCAAGUUUUUUCUUAUAAAAUCAUCUGUAAAGGUCAAUAUAUAUUUGUUAUAAUUAAGAGAUUUUAUCUCAUCAAAUCAUAUACACACGCACCAAAUCUAAAGGUUUAACUCUUUUGGAUAUUCUAAUUGAAAAAUGAUUCCUAUGUUGUUUCCUAAGUAGACAUUCUUCACAAACAUGAUAUGGAUCAUCAAUUAGUGAUAAUCCUAUCACCAUAUUCAUAUGCACCAAGAGCUUCAACCCAUGAAAAUUGAGAUGACAAAAGGGAAGAUGUCAAAGCCAAUUGCAAUCUUCUACAAUUGCCUUCAAAUAAAAUGAAGUUUUGGUUGAAAAAACAUAGGAAAUAUCAUAUUUUUUUGUCAUCUACACAUUUGAAAUCAUCUUCUUAUUUUUAUCAUUAAGAGUACAAACUCUACUAAAAAUACUAAUGAUAUGUUUUUUUUUGUUAAUUGUCCCAUGCUAAACAAAUUAAAAAAAAAUCUAAUACAAAAAAUAGAUCUACUAUGGUAACAUUAGUGACAUAUUUAAAUGUAUUUUAAUAUUAUCUUUGCCCAUGAUUGAGACUUUAAAUUUACUUCCAAAAUUAACUUUUCAUUUAACUGAUUCAUCAAAUUGCAAAAACAAUUUUUUCUUAUCACACGUGUGAUUGUUCCGUUUUGUAUCAAAGAACCAAACAUCUUUAUGGUUUAUGUUAGAUGUUGUUACAUUAUAGACCAAUAUCAAAUUCUACUCAACCUCAAUGGUGUUUGUCGACUCUAUUUGUUCAUUCUAUAAUUUCAUUCGACAUUUUGAAUUGUAGUGUCCAUACCACUUACAUCUAAAACAUUAUAAGUGUGACUUGUCUUUAGAUCCAAGAAUGUUGACCAUUCCUCUAGAAUAAUUUUUAUUAUAUCCCCAUCUCUAUGAUUGGAGUUGUUGUGUCCUCCUCUACAUCCAUAACCUUGACCUUUGCUACUUUAUUGAUCAUCGUGACCUCUUGUAGACGUUUUACUUUUCAAGACCUACUCCAAACUAGUAGAGUCAAUUAUUUUAUUCAUCCAUUAUUCACGUGAAUACUUACGCUCAUCAACCCUUCAAUUGUGAAAGUGAAGAUAUUUCUUCUUUCUUCAUUUAAUUACAACAACAUAUUCAAAUUUUGCAUGUAAAGAUCGUAUGUAUGACUUUCUCUUAUAUUUUUUUUAAUCAUCAAGCCUUUCACCAUUAACCCACAUCUAGUUUAUAAGUACCCAAUCAAAAUAAUGUGAGAUCAAUUUAGAGUCAUUAAUCAUACGGAGAGACUUGAAUUCACAUCUUAAUGUUCGUAGCGCCAUUCACUUGACAUGAUCAUUACAUUAAUUUAUAUAAUUUGUGUAGAUUAAUUUAUACCUUUAUUUAUUUUUAUGCUUCUACUUUUGAAAUUUUCUCAAGUAUGGAUUCAUUUUCUGCUUAGAAUAUUGCAUAGAGUGCUUAUAUAUAUAUAUAAGAAUAUUUCAAUAAGUCUUUUUACUCCUUUGAUAGUGUCUCAAAUUCUUUUGAAUCAACCACUUUGUUAUAGUCAUGAUCUAUUAAACGCUAUAAAUCUUAAGAUCUAAAUAAGACAUACAUUUAAUCCACUAGUUACUAAAAUUCUUACUUGUGAAUUUUAAGAGUUGAGGUUGAAUUAAUUUGUAAUUAUUUACCGUCAUAAUAUCGCUGACCAAAUUGUAACUUUCUUGUUAUCUAUUUUGCAUAUUCUUAGGUAUUAUGGUACUUAUCUUCUCGUUUUUCACCCUCCGUAAUCUUUUGGCUUUGAUAUGAACAAUACUCUUAUUCUUAUACCACUUGUUGGUAGCUCUACUCUUCUAGCUUUUCACCUUUCUUGAUCUUUUAUUGUUUUUACAUUUUUUUCAACAUAAUAAACUAAUCAUAUUUACACUAUACUUCCAAUUUAUAAUUAAAAGAAAAAGGUUUGAGAGUUGAAUAGCUAUGUAUCCAUGUAAACUUUGUUUCAACGUAAUUAAUAAAUAAGAGUUAAUAUGAUUCAAACUAUCAUUAUAACUCAAAGUGAAAAGAAAAGAAAAAAUAGCUUCAAGCCAAGAUAAUAAGAUAAUGAAAUUGAGAUAAAUACCAAUAUUUAUUAUAAAUGAAAAAAUAAUGAUCUAAGAAAGUCUCUUGCAUCCAUAAUAAUUACAAAAAAAAAAAAAGGUUAGGGACACUAAAUAGCUUUGUAUCCACAUAGCUUCUUAUAGGACAAAAUUAAUUAAUAAAUAAGGAGAUAGAGUGUAUUUGAUAAUGAUUUUAGAAAAUAUUUUUUAGUCUUUUUCAUACUUGAAAUAUUUAUUUUUCAAGAAUUAGAAAUGGUAAAAAUAUUUUUCAAAAUUACGUACUAUCAAACACAGUGUUAAUUUCAUUCAAAUUAUCACUAUAAACAUGAUUAGUAUUACAUAUGUACUUAGAAAACCUCCUAUCUGUCCAUAGAAAUGUUAGUUUCACUUUCAACUUCCUCACAACAAAGUUACAUGAUCAUCAGACUUGGCUAAGUAUUGGUAAAAGAAAAAUGUACAUUCAAAAAAUAAAAAAUUAAACCCAACUUUUAAUUUUGUAUGGUUUUGGCAGUAUCAUGCCAAGUCAAAAUAAACGGAUAAAAAUUGUAAUAUUUAUGCCAAAAAAAUAACAAGCAUUGUUGAUUUGGUCAUUUUUGUUAGCUCUUCAUUCAUCAACCUUUAAUUCAACAAUAUAUGUUUUAGUCUAGAAAAAAAUGCCAAUAAUUAUAAUAGAAUAUUAUAAUUCUACAUCGUACAUGUUCACAAGUGGAAUUCAAUUUAACUUUAAUCUUGCAUACUCUUAUAGGUAAUUAUGUAAAAAUGUUAUGGUAUCUUAUUUCUUAGUCUAUGUUUGGUUUCCAUAAAUAAUGAGGAAAAAAAAUGUUAAAGUUGGUUUUAAUAUAAAAAGAUACAAAAUAAAAUCAAAUAUAAUGAAAAUUAACUACAAAUUUAUAUAUUUUAAAAUUAUUUAAUUUGUAUAUAUUAAAAAAAAUAAAUGAAAUGAGUUUGAAGAACCAUAUGAAAAUAAUUUAUUAAUUUCAAAUUUUCUUUUUCUCAAAUUUUCUUUCAUUCCAUUUUCCUUCCUAUUUUCUUUCUUUCACAUUUUUCCUUAAAUUUCCCGAGAACCAAACAUAGUCUUAUAUAAAUUAAGGACUGUUUGGUAAUUGUUUUCGAAAAUAAUUUUCUAUUCUAAAAAUUAAAACCAAGAAAACAUGUUUAGCAAUUAGAAACUGUUUACUGUUCUUAAAAACAGAAAACAAGGUAUUUUAAGAUAACAAUUUUUAGUUGUUUUAUGUUAUUUUCACUUGUUUUCUAAGGGUUAUUUUAAAAAAGAAUUAUACAAUUAUGUAAAAUGAUUAAAAAUAAAACAUUGGAUAAACAUAUUAAAAAUAAGUUAAAAACAUUUCAGGUUUCUAAACGUACUUUUGUUUUACACAAUAUUAGAUGACAGUUUUUAAAAAUUAUUUUCAAAAAUUGUUUUUUAUAACUAUUUUAGAAAAUAAUUGCCAAACACGACUGAGUAAUCUUAUGGAUAAUUGACCAAAAUAACAGAUAAACUAAAUAGGAUGAGGGAAUAAAUAGUAUCAUGACCUCGUAAAUCUGAUAGCAUGAGCUAUCAAUUGACUUGAGAACUUAAAUUGUGUAGGAAUGGGGCCAUAAUUUAUACCUCUAUAACAACCACUAGCCUGCAAACUUAUUUUCGUGUCUGUUUUCUACCUAAUAAUUAAUAGAUGAAGAAGGAAACACAAAUCAAUGGAGAAGGAUGCUUAAUCCAACUUGAUCAGCAUCCAUUAACAAAUAAUUUUCUACUAACAUUGGCUGUGUCAUCAGCAACCUAAAAGUUAAAAUAAAGGAAUAAAACAAUGAUAUUUGGGUCAUUAAUUGACCUAUUUUCCGAUAUAAUAUAAUGAUGAUCUUCUCCCUCCGCUUCGGAUCUCGUCUUCUUGUUAUCAUAUCCUCUCCAUGCACGGUUGAAGAAUGUUUCACUAAGAACGACAUCAUUUUUGCCAACCGGCCCAUCUUUUUGUUUGGCAAGUACAUAGGCUACAACAACACCAUCGUUACUUCAGCACCGUAUGGCGAACACUGGCGCAAUCUCCGCCGCCUAAGCGCACUGGAAAUCUUCUCUCCAAAUCGCCUCAACAUGUUUAUAGGCACCCGCAGGGAUGAAAUCAAGAUUUUACUACACCGAUUGUCUCAGAAUUCACGGGAUAAUUUUGCAAGGGUAGAGUUGAGACUAAUGUUUACAGAGCUAACAUGUAAUAUUAUAAUGAGAAUGGUUGCAGGAAAGCGGUACUAUGGGGAAGAUGUGGAUUUUGAGGAAGCCAAGCACUUUCAUGAAGUAAUGAGAGGGGUUUUUGAAUUGGCUGGGUAUCCAAUCCAGGAGAGUUUUUUCCUUUACUACGGUGGGUUGACUUUGGGGGUUAGGAGAAGAAGUUGGUGAAGAUCAAAACAAAGAAAGAGGUGAUCUUCCGAGGUCUUAUUGAUGAGCAUCGAAGUCCUAGCCGGGCCCUUGUGAAUAAAAACAGUAUGAUCAAUCAUCUGCUUUCAAUGCAAAAAUCAGAACCAGAAUAUUACACAGAUGAAAUCAUAAAAGGGCAUUCAUUGGUAACUUCAGUAUUGCAGGCAAACUGAUUCUCUUUAAGAUAUACCACUUUUGCCAAAAGAAUAAUGCUAUUCAAACCUAAAUUGGCCAGUUUGCUUCUUAGAAAAAACACUGAUCAGCAUAAAUGGUUCUAUUUUUGUUAAAAAAAAUUAGGUCAUAUGCGCGCCAUUAAGCGUGCAGGAGAGGCAAGCCAACAAAAGUUGGGAAAUCAAGCAAUUUUUUUUCUACGAGUCAAAGGAAUGGCCCCCUGGCCUCUGAUUUCCAUAUAAAGGACAAAGACAUAAAUAUCCUCUUUAACUGCUAUUAUGAUGGACUGAAUAUCUUUCAUAAGUAAUCGGAGGAAGAUCCGACGAUUUUUUCCAGAAAAUCCCCAACGAAAAAUACACACUAUUCCUUCUUUUCUAUCGAAUCGAUCAUAACCACUACCUACAUUCCACGAAAUUGUGCACCACAAAUAGGAGCUAAUAAAGAGACCGACAAUCCCGUAGAAAGACAUCACGAUCCCUUGUGGAAAAAAAAUUAUUUGCUGAGACGGAAAUAAAGAUAUCAAAUUCCUACCAAAAUAACUGGAAGUUCCAACCAAUAAGAACCCUAAUGAACCUAAAAAAAGGAUAAAGGCCCAACAAAAAUUACUUAUUUUUCGAGACCUCGUUAUAAGUUCUAUCCACUCUACUAGGUGUUCUGCCAGUGGCUUCUGGGGGUAUUCACGUUUGGCAUAUGCCUGCUCUGACCGAGAUCUUUGGAGAUGAUUCCAUACUACAGUUCGGUGGAGGAACUUUAGGACACCCUUGGGGAAAUGCACCGGGUGCCGUAGCUAAUCAAGUAGCUCUUGAAGCAUGUGUACAAGCUCGUAAUGAGGGACGUGAUCUUGCUCAUGAGGGUAAUGAAAUUAUCCAUGCAGCUAGCAAAUGGAGUCCUGAACUAGCUGCUGCUUGUGAAGUAAUUAAGGAAGGAAAUCUAAUUUGAAUUCCCAGCAAUGGAUACUUUGUAAUCCAGUAAUUAUUGUUCGUUUCCUAAAUUGAAUUGCAAUUAAACUCGGCCCAAUCUUUUACUAAAAAAAAAGGAUUGACCCGAAUACAAAAAGACUAUUGUAUGUAUAUAUUUUGGAUAGAUACAUACUUAUCUAGAUAUACAAUACAAAAUCUAAGACUAAACAACUCAAAUUUUCUAUUGUUGUGUUAGAUCCACAAUUAAUCCUAUGGAUCCUUAGGAUUGGCGUAUUCUUUUAUAUCUUGUAGUUUCUGUUUGAAAUGGAAAUCUAUAUGUAUGUAGAUAUCUAUAGGGGAUCAUAUGAGGGGGAUGUUAUUAUUUUAGAUUUAACCAAUUCGAUGAAUUACGCCUAAAGGUUCACAUCAGAAUAGUGCUAGUUGAUGAGAGUUACUUCGUAAACAAAAAGAGUAAAGUAAAAUGUAUUCCUAUAUGGGUUAUUCUCNNNNNNNNNNNNNNNNNNNNNNNNNNNNNNNNNNNNNNNNNNNNNNNNNNNNNNNNNNNNNNNNNNNNNNNNNNNNNNNNNNNNNNNNNNNNNNNNNNNNUGAAUUAAUUAAGGAAGGAAAUCUAAUUUGAAUUCCCAGCAAUGGAUACUUUGUAAUCCAGUAAUUAUUGUUCGUUUCCUAAAUUGAAUUGCAAUUAAACUCGGCCCAAUCUUUUACUAAAAAAAAAGGAUUGACCCGAAUACAAAAAGACUAUUGUAUGUAUAUAUUUUGGAUAGAUACAUACUUAUCUAGAUAUACAAUACAAAAUCUAAGACUAAACAACUCAAAUUUUCUAUUGUUGUGUUAGAUCCACAAUUAAUCCUAUGGAUCCUUAGGAUUGGCGUAUUCUUUUAUAUCUUGUAGUUUCUGUUUGAAAUGGAAAUCUAUAUGUAUGUAGAUAUCUAUAGGGGAUCAUAUGAGGGGGAUGUUAUUAUUUUAGAUUUAACCAAUUCGAUGAAUUACGCCUAAAGGUUCACAUCAGAAUAGUGCUAGUUGAUGAGAGUUACUUCGUAAACAAAAAGAGUAAAGUAAAAUGUAUUCCUAUAUGGGUUAUUCUCUCAAUUACAAUAAAAUACAACUGGAUCUAGUAUGAGUUGGCGAUCAGAACGUAUAUGGAUAGAAUGCUGCAUAUUAAUGGUAUAUCAAACGCAACUAGUAUUUGGAGUAUGAAAUUUCCAAUUUUUUUUUUUUUGUUUUUUGAGUAUUUAUAUUAAUGUUGGUGUCACAUGUGGUUUAAUUUUUCUCAAAGCUACAAAUAUUGUAUGCAGAUCUUAAUUCUUGUUGGUACUGAGAUUACUGCAACAACAAUAGAAUGGGCCAUGUCUCUUCUACUCAAUCAUCCUGAUGUUAUGAAGAAAACUAGAGUAGUAGAAUUGGACACUCAUGACAGAAAAGACUGUUUGAUGGAAGAAUCCGAUUUCCCCAAAUUACAAUAUCUUCAAAGUAUCAUUUCUGAAACUUUAAGAUUAUUUCCAGCAGCCCCAGUUUUGGUACCACAUAUGUCUUCAGAUAAUUGCCAAAUAGGAGGAUUUAAACAAGCAAGGCAUUAUCAACAAGCAAGGCAGAAGGUGAAGAAGAAACCCAACUCCCCAACUCCAUCAUUUUUGUCAAGAUGAUCACCACAUCAAAGCUUCUCCUUCAGCAGUUGGCCUCUUAAGUAGCCAACUUGCCACAACAUCAUUAAAGAAGAGGGCUAAUCUAUUAAUCAAUUCAAAUCAAAACAUUGGUUUGCCUUUUCAAAAUUAAAUAGAGUGAUUGUAUAUGCAUUCAUUCUCCAAAUUCCUUUGACUUCCCUUGUUGGAUAAAUUUUGUGAUAGCUUCUAUCAAAAAAUAAGACUAAUUAUAAUAGAUUAUAUGCAUAAUUUAAUUUCAUUACUUGCGUCUAAUUUAUAUUUUAGUCCGUUCUUUUGCAUGUGGUAUCAUUUAUUUUUAUAAGAUUUGUUGCUAGAUUUUAUUUAUUUUGGCAUAUGAAAAUUGUAUAAAGCUUGUAUAAUGAUCGAAUGAAUGACACUUGGCAUUCCACCGAAAACCUUGCCUAAUUAUUCAAUGAAUGAUAUUUGGCAUUCGGCCGCAACGUUCCCGAACCCUGUUAGGCAAGACGCGUGACAAGGAAUAACAACUGCCAUCCUUUACAUCUAAUCUCCUUCAUUGGAUUUCCAUAAAUAUUUUUGUCAUUGGCACAGUUAAAGAUGGAUACGAUCACGAGGAAAACAAUUUAAAAUGUUCAAGUAAAGUAGCUUUUGAAUAUAAGCUUGCGUGAGAAAAAAAAAUUAAGGUGGUUGUUUCCACUACGUACUCCAGUGCUUACCUUCAAUAGUCAACAUUAAGUUAAGUUUGAAUAGCAUAUGCAUAGAACCCAUCUUUCUCUUGAUCAAUAUGUCAUCAACAAAACCAUGGAAGCUACAUGGCUAAGUACAUCUCUAUCUCUUCUCUUUCUCUUGUUUGCUUUCAGUGUCUUCCUCCACAAAGAAGAACACAUCCCCGCCUCCCACCAAGCCCGCCUGCUAUUCCAAUUCUUAGUCAUCUCCAUCUCCUCUUGAAACAACCAAUUCAUCGGCAUCUACAGACUCUUUCUCAAAAAUAUGGUCCUAUCUUCUCCCUCCGUUUCGGAUCCCGUCUUCUUGUUAUCAUAUCCUCUCCAUCCACUGUUGAAGAAUGUUUCACCAAGAGCGACAUCAUUUUUGCCAACCGCCCUUGCUUCUUGUUCGGCAAGACUACAACUACACUACCAUUGCUUCAGCACCAUAUGGUGAACACUGGAGCAAUCUCCGCCGCCGCCUCAGCACACUGGAAAUCUUCUCCACAAAUCGCCUUAACAUGUUUCUGGGUAUCCGCUGGGAUGAAAUCAAGCUUCUAUUGCGCCAAUUGUCUCUGAAUUCAAGGGAUCAUUUUGCAAGGGUAGAGUUGAGACCAAUGUUUAUAGAGCUAACAUGUAAUAUUAUAAUGCGAAUGGUUGCAGGAAAUCGGUAUUAUGGGGAAGCAGUGGAUUUCGAGGAAGCCAAACUUUUUCGGGAAGUAAUGAGAGGGAUUUUCGAAUUGGCUGGAACACUGGCGCACCCUCCUCCGCCUCGUCAGCACACUUGAAGUAUUCUCUUCCAAUCACCUUCGCAUGUUCUAAGGCAACCGUAACGAUGAAAUCAGUCAUUUAUUCAUCGUUUGUCUUGGGAUUCCAGGGGUAAUUUUGUGAAGGUAGAGUUGCUGCUAAUAUUUAAUAUUAUAAUGAGGAUGAUUGCAGGAAAGCGCUACUAUGGUGAAGACCUGCACGUUGAGGAGGCGAGGCAUUUCCAAGAUAUUAUAGGGAAGAUCUUUGAAUUGGGCGCAACAUCAAAUCCAAUAGAUUUUUUUGCCUCUGUUGCGAUGGAUAGAUUAUGGAGGUUAUGAGAGGAAGAUGCAUGGCAAAUAGUAUAGUGUUAGAUGCGAUCUUGCAAGGUUUUGAUUAAUGAGCAUACAAUAAAAAUGGUUUAGUGGGUAAUAAUACUAUGAUCGACCAUCUAUUAUCAUUGCAAAAAUCAGAACUAGAAUACUACACAGAUGACAUCAUUAAAGCUUGUGGAAUGACCUCGAAAGUUUUAAGCUGUAGAGGUUUGAGAAUAGGGAAAGAGAUACAUCCAAACUACUGCUCUUUGGAGUGGGAAGGAGGGCGUGUCCUGGGAUUGACCUACCAAACCAUAGUGUGGAUUUGGCUGUGGGGUCAUUAAUUCCAGAGUUUUAUGUGCAAGAAAAUAGACUAUAGGAAAAUUACAUAUAAUAAUGAUGAGAUAUGAGAACAUGUAAUAGAAAUGAUAAUACUAUUUUAAGAAAAUAAAAGUGGACAAAUACUUGGUAUUUCUGUAUAUAAUAUGAAUUAUAAUAAUUUUUACAAAAAGUGGUUGUUAUUGGAAAAAACAAAUAUCAUUUGAAUUAAUUAUAUAUAAUAAUGAUAAAAUAUAAACACAUAUAAUAGAAAUGAUAAUACUAUUUUAGGAAAAAAAGUGGACAAACACUUCGUAUUUUUAUAUAUAAGAUAGAUUAAAAUAAUUUUUAUAAAGCAUAGGUUGUCAUUGGAAAAAACAAACACCAUUUGAAUUAAUUAGAUAUAAUAAUGAGAGGAUAUAAUCACAUAUAAUAGAAAUAAUAAGACUAUUUUUGGAAGAAAAAAUUGUCAAAACACCUCUUAAUAUAUAUCUUAAUAUAUAUAUAUAUAUAUAUACACGCGUGAUAUAGAGCAUACAUGGUACAUCAUGUAUUGUUUCUAUUUCUAAAGAUUGUCCUCAGACUGCUGAAGCCUACCUGCAUCAGUAAAAAUUGAAUAGCAUAUACUCAAUAUAUUAAGAGAGUCUCAUAGUAAUCUUAAUGUAAACCUGAUGUGAGCUACUUCAAAACAUGCAUAUGACUAUUUCUACCUACAAAAUAGAGGAUUGUGGUUUACAUAUGUUACAGUUUUAGCGAAGGGAUGGAGCAAGAUUGAACAAGAAUGACAGAAGUUGUAAAAGAAACUCAACACUACCAUUCUCGUUAAGACUAUUAUAUCAACCAUUCUUACUAUAUGAGUUCUUUUUCAGCAUUUGGCCUUCCAUGCAACCAACUCGCAACACUUUGGUUUGAGGAGAGGCCUUCCUCACACCAUCAUAAAAAAAGAGGCCGCCUCCAUUGCCUCAUUGAUGGUGGCGGCGCUUCAAACUUAGACUUUCAAGGAUACAAUUGACUAUUUGAAACAAUGUUAUGGGUUGUCAUUGUGGUCUGAAUCAUUGAUUUAGUGGUGUAUACAUAUAAAAAGAGAGAGAUAAGGCAAAACUAACAAUGGGUUUGGGAUUGAUUUUGAGAGAGUUAAAAGUAGUCACUAUACUUGGAAACGCAUCCUAUACAAAAUUAGGUAUUUGAUAAACUUUUCAAAUUCUCUUUUAACAGUCUAAAAAAUUACUUGAGUUGAUUAAAGGAAAAUAACUUGAUGCAUGAUUUUUCGAAAAUACUUUUAUAAAAUAUUGUAGAUAAAAGUGCUUUAAUCGAAAUCAUUUCUAAAUGUACUUUAAAUUUCAUAUUUUCAAACUUUCCUAACCUUUCUUUAACCAAAACUCAUUUAAGCUUUGUCUAUAUGUUUUGACUCUUCACUCAUUUUUUUAUUGUCUAAAAAUAUUAUGUAAAAUAACAUGGUCAAACAUGAAUCUUAUUAUUAAUAAUUUUUUUAAAAAAUAAAAAGUAAAUAAAAAAUAAUAUGAGCAAGUUUUUUCUACUCAACCGUACAAAUGUCUUAAAGAAGGGUUAAAAAUAGAGUAAUCAUGUAGGAAAUUAUUACUUGAGAAAAGAAUCCACUAAGGUUAUUUGGGUAAGAGGUUGAAAUAACAACUCUAUUUGUAUAAAUAACUCAUUAAAAAAAAAAAAACAUAAAACACAACCUUAUAGAAAAAAAUACCCUUCUGUUUUUUUAUUUUUCUCCAACAUAAGGAUUUCUCACUAUUUUCAUCUUACCUUUUUUUUCUUUUCUUUAUUCCUUACAAUAAAAAAAUGUUAAAGUUCUCUCAUCCCCUCUUUAUUAAUGGUCAUGAAAAUGAAUUAAGAUAUAUAAAUGACCAAUAUUAUUUUUUCUUCUUAUUUUUUUCUUUUGAUGACAAAGAUUUCUAAAACCCUUACUUUACUAUUACCAAACCAAACAAAAAACUCUCUACUAUUAAAUAUAAAAUAGUAUUAAGAGCCAAUAUAACAAAGGUCAAAUGAUGGCAUACAAUGAAUCUCAUAUGAUGGCAUACAAUGAAUCUCAAAUAUUUAAAACUAUAUUGAUUUCAACAUUGUUGGUCGAUUCUAACUCAAAAUAUUCACUUGAACUUUAUUGCAGUUGGGUUUUAUUUAUAAAGAACUUAAUUGGAGUAAAGUUCUUGAUUAGAAUAUUCACUUGGCCAACUAUAGUCAAGUCAUUUUGAAUAGCUAACUAACAUGAUAUAUAGUAAUGAGACAUUAACUCAUUCUAAUGUUUUAAAAAUGAUACCAAAUUAGUUUAUGAGACUAUAAGGUUGGUUCCUUUGUAAUAUCAAUUUAUAAUAUUAAAUGUGAGGAAAUAAAAUAUAAAAUAAAUUAAAAGGUUGAUAGAAUAAGAUAUAUUUAACUCAAAUAAAUUUUCAAUAUUUUUUAUUUUAUGUAGCUAUUUUUCAAUUAAUUUCCAAUAAAUAACGAAAACAAUUAAAAUCCCUUAUUAGAAAAUAGUAUGAUUCUUAAGAAGACAAUUUAUUAUUAGACAAUUAAAAGAUUAUUCAACGUGUUUGGACUUUGGAUUUUGUGAGCGUGGAAAGGUUUUUAUUAUUAAGAAUUACAAGAAGUUUUUAAUUCUUCCACAUUUCGCGUCGUGCCUGACAUCAUUCGUAGGUCAACCUCAUGCAUGACAUCAUUUUUUUUGGACCCCUUCUCCAAUCGUAGUAGCUGUUUUUUCUUUCCUUUCAUAAUUUCAUUCGUGGACAAUUGAGGCAGGCAGAAAGGGAGGAUGGAGUCAAAGAAGUCGGAUGAGAGAUAGUGGGUGGUUUUUGUACUUUUUUGGUACUAUAAUUUGCUUUAAGGUUAAAUACAACUUAAGCUCAUUAAUUAAUCAUUAUAAAUAUUUUAUUGUUUUAAAAUUUAAACACUGAGCUUGUUUUUAUUUAUUUAUUUAUUGAUAUUUCAAAAUAUUAUUACACACUAAAUAAAUCAGCUUUAUUUUUGUAAAAAUAUUAAUUAUUUAUUUUUCUUGUUUUAUAUAAUUAAGAUAAAGAUAUUUGAAAUAAAAAAUAAGUAAUUUAACAUACUUUUAAAUAUCCUAAAAUAUCAGAUCACAUUAUAAUAACAAAAAAUUUAAUGAUAUAAAAUAAUUAGCAAUUAUAUAGUAAUUAAAGUUUUAAAUUAUAUUUGGUUGCUAAGAAAUGUUAGAAAUAUUUUAUGUAAAGUUUUAUGAAAUACUUAUGGGUUGUAUGUGACACAUAUUUGGAUGUAUUGAUUAUUUAUUUAAAUGGUUAAUUUAUUAUUUUUAAAAUUUUCUAUUAUAGUAAUUAACAACAUCAAAUCAUAAAUUUUUAUUUUUAAUAUUAAUUUAAAAAAUUUAUUUGAGUGAAUAUUUACAUAAAUGUGAAUUGGGUUUUGGAGUUAUAAUUAGAGAAAAUAUAUUUGAAUUAAUGUAGAUAAUUCAAAUAUUAUUAAGGUAAGCAAUGAAAUCAUUAAAAUUGAAACAUGAUCAGGUAAAAAACUUUGUCCUCUUCCUUGUUGAUCAUUCUAUAAAUAAAGCAUAAAUAACCAGGGAAUGCACUUGUAUCUAAGCCUACCUUUCCUUUCACUUCUUCAGUGUCACUCCCAUGGAUGUGUCUUCCCUUCACACAUCGCUCUCUCUUCUCUUCGUGUUUCUCUUGCUUGCUUUCGGAAUCUUCUUCCCAAGAAGACGAAGAUAUGGGAAUCUCCCACCCAGCCCGCCUGCAGUUCCGAUUAUAGGUCAUCUCCACCUCCUCAAACAACCGGUUCAUCGAUCUCUACAACUCCUUUCACAAAAGUACGGUCCAAUCUUCUCCCUCCGAUUAGGAUCCCAGCUCGCGGUCAUCGUUUCCUCUCCCUCCGCCGUCGAAGAAUGCUUCACCAAGAACGACGUCGUCUUGGCCAACCGCCCUCGCUUUGCGUCCGGCAAGUACGUGGGGUACAACUACACCACCAUUGGCGCGGCAUCAUACGGCGACCACUGGCGCAACCUCCGUCGCCUCAGCGCCCUGGAAAUCUUCUCCUCCAAUCGCCUCAACAUGUUUCUAGGCAUCCGCAGGGAUGAAGUCAAGCGUCUACUCCUCCGACUGGCUCGAGAUUCGAGGGAGGGUUUUGCAAAGGUAGAGAUGAGACCCAUGCUUACAGAGCUAACCUUUAAUAUUAUAACGAGGAUGGUUGCAGGAAAGAGAUACUACGGAGAAGACGUGGAAUAUACGGAGGCUAAACGUUUUCGGGAGAUUAUCAGCCAGCUUUUCAUACUGGGCGGGGCAUCAUCAAAUCCAGCAGAUUUUUUGCCCAUAUUGCGAUGGAUUGGGCUCGGAUAUCAUGAGAAGAAGCUAAAGAAGAUCGUGAGAGAGACAAGGGCGAUCUUGCAGGGUUUGAUUGAUGAGCAUAGAAGUGGUAAUGACAAGGGUUCGGUGGAUAAUAAUUCUAUGAUCGACCAUCUGUUAUCCUUGCAAAAAACAGAACCAGAGUACUACACAGAUGACAUUAUUAAAGGGCUUGUACAGGUGAGUGACGCGCUGUUUUCGUAUCUGCUGUAUUUUCAAAGUUUAUUCUAAAAUUUCACAGAAAACAAAAAUAAAAGUGCAGUUUAAUACUUGUAGUGGGAAACUUGGUUUUUGAAGUGUAUAAUGUUGGUUUUUUGCGGGUUUUUUUUACUUCUUUUUUCAUCUCACAAAUUCUUCAAUACAGGUCUUAAUUCUUGCUGGAACCGACACUUCAGCAGCAACAAUGGAAUGGGCAAUGACCCUUCUCCUCAAUCAUCCGGAUGUUUUGGAGAAAGCUAAAGCAGAGUUGGAUAUGCACGUUGGAAAGGACCGCUUGAUAGAAGAAUCUGAUCUUCCCAAACUGCGGUACCUUCGAAGUAUCAUUUCUGAGACUUUGAGAGUAUUUCCUGUGGCCCCUCUGUUACUGCCCCAUAUGUCCUCAGAUGACUGUCAAAUAGGGGGUUUUGAUAUACCACGAGGCACAUUAUUACUGGUAAAUGUAUGGGCCCUUCACAGAGACCCUCAGGUGUGGGAAGAUCCUACAAGUUUCAAACCUGAAAGGUUUGAAAAUGGAGAACGUGAGAAUUACAAACUAGUACCAUUUGGAAUAGGAAGAAGAGCCUGUCCUGGAGCUGGCCUAGCUCAGCGAGUGGUGGGUUUGGCUUUGGGGUCGUUGAUUCAGUGCUAUGACUGGAAGAAGAUUAGCAACACCGCUA
rnacentral:lncRNA from 1 species